GGACUAGAAUGAACCUGAAAAAUGCAACGACCGCUGGGCUCACCGUAGAUUCUCUUGACACCUCUUUGAUCAACUAUUCGAGUUGCUCUCUCAAAGUUUUUACCAAACACGAAAUGUAAGCUAUGAUUAACAGAAACAGAAAGGGUAAAAAAAAAAAAAAAAAUCAAAUACCCAUUUACAGAAUCUAAUCAAAUUGGAGAGUGAAAGUAAAUGUAUACUACUUACAUUGAGAGCUGAUCCUCAGUCACUAUCACCAAUAUAAGUUGCAAGUAAAACAAAUUAGUUCUUGGUUUUUUGAAAGAUUUAACUUAAUAAAGAAAAAAGAAAACAAGGACAAAGCUCCACAGAAAUAGUAAAGAGAGGACCUGAACGAGUUGACUCAAUGGUUUUCCACACCGAGUCUGCAACCAAGCCGCUAGCACUCAUCCUUUAUUUCGUUCACUGAAUCGAAAAAGUAAAUAAUAAAGAAAUUAACGUUUCUGAGGUAUUGGAAAUUGUCGAAACCCUGGGUUGGAGAAAGAAGAGAAAUUGAUUGUACUGACCGACCAGUGGGCUCUUCUAAUACUUCCCGUUUUCCGGUCUCUCUUUCAGAAAUCAAAGCUAUGUUUUUCACUCCUUGGACAUUGAUUUUCUUUUCUUGUUUUUUCUUUGAACACAAGUCCUGUUUAAAAAUUUAAAAAAAAAAAAAAAAAGUCACUAUUUUUAUGUAUUUUUCUAGAUAUUUCUUUUGAAUUAAUUGACUGAAAUUAAAAUGUAAGUACUUAAAACUCAGAAUUAAAGCAUUUAGAUAAUUACCAACUAACAGUUGAUUCAGUGAGAUAGAAUUUGAACCCUGACAAUCCUGGUGUUGUGAAUGGAGAAAAUUAGAUUAGAAGGAUUCCUCUGUAGAACCUGAAUCCAAAUUCUGGGUGGUUUACAAAAUAUAUAUAUAUAUAUAUAUAUUUGGAAAACUGAAAUUUCAAUUAUGUGUUUGCCAAACUACAUAUUUGGAUGUCUUUUCACUUUUUUUUUUUUUGGUUCUUGGGUAGCAAUUAACUCAAACAAUUCAAUUAAAUCAGUACAAUCUGAAUCAAUAUGAAUGAUUAUAGAAACAGAUGACAAUUAAGUAAACAUGAAUUUAAGAUUUCAGCAGUUUACUGCAAACUGGUCAUGCAGCUUGUUGCAAACUCUGAUACACAAAUCAAAUUUUUACAACAAUAUACCAGAACCAUACCAACACACAACCGCAGAAACUAUCAGAUUUUUACAGCAUAAGGUGCAGUAACACUAUAAUUAUCCACAAAAAAGGCAAAAUGUCAAAAAGCUUGUGUCAGGUUUAGUGUCUCAAGUUGCUCCUUCAGGAUUUGAGUCCUACUAAGCCAGCUUUGAAACGCUAUUCUCCUUACUACUUGAAGUCAGAAUUACUUCACAAUUACAAAACAAACACCUGUAACUCCAACUUUGAAAAACUUUGACUGCUUGAAAACUCGCGCACAUUACAAAAUAAAGCAGUAUAAGUAGGAGUUGUAUACAAUUACUUUACGUGCAACUUCAACUAAUUUAUAUUACCAUCACAACCCAAGAAGAAUGCUAAGUCAUUAUUUCCUUUGACAUGCCAAAAGGUACAAUCAAAUUAGCAAAGCAAAGUCUGUGGUCAGAAGAUCUAUGGAAAAUCCUAAUCCUUUGAAUAAUUCACAUUGGCCAUAAGCAAGCAAAAAGGACCAAGAGAUAAUCCCAAUUAAGAAAUUGAGAACAAAGAAAUGGGAAUUCUAUCACCAUAGCCACUGCCUAGUAUAAAGAAACAAAGAAUUUUCAAUUCUGGGAAAGUUCCCUGCCACGCUUAGCAGCAGCAACAACAGCAUUCAUUAGCGUUCCCCGGAAUCCACCUUUCUCUAAUUCAUGAAUACCAGCAAUUGUUGUCCCCCCAGGUGAGGCAACAUCAUCUUUAAGCUGACCCGGAUGCUUCCCAGUUUUGGUCACUAUAGAAGCAGCCCCUAAAACCUGCAAAAGUAAAAGAAAAUUCAACCACCAACAGAAAUGAAUUUCAAGCAAAAUGCAAUGUUCUGUAGUAAUGGAUACUUGAAAUCAAAUCGCCAAUAAAACAUACUUCCUAAUGGACACCCUAAGCCUUGUCCAAAGGAAAUAAUGGGUCCUCCUAGUAUUCAUUUUAAGGUGUAGAACAGCCAAAAAAUCCAUGAUUUCAAGGAAUUUAAAGAGUUGUAAAUCCAUUUCCACUAGAGGUAGGCAGGUUCUGGUCAAGCAGACACUUAGGGGGUUUGUGACAAAUUCUGAAUGCUCUGAAUUAACAACUUCUUGAGCUGAGUGAUAAUGAAUUGGAAUCAAAAGCUGAUUGUUGAAUGAUUAGUAUAUGGUGUCAUUUUAAAAUUAUAGGAGCAAUUAUGUCUUUUAAUAUAAUAAGUUAUAUAUAGCUUAUUAAAUCAACUCUAACAAUAAGCUUUUUCAUUCAGACAAAAUUCAACUUACAAAUUCACAUAAACAGCUUAUUAGUUCAAAUCAAAUGAACAAGCUUUUUUUAUUAUUGUCUGAAUGAAUAAGCUCAAGGUUUAAUAAGUUGUCAAUAAGACAAAACAAACGACUUCUAAGUACUUUCUUGAAUAUGAUGAUAUGUGACACACUAAAGUUUUAUUAUCUAGUAUAUUUCUAGACUCACAUAUCAAAUAGUUGCUGAUGGCACAGUGCUAUAUAACAUCUAAAGCACUUCUAGCCUCAUAUUUUAACAAGUCCUCAGAAAUAAAUAAAAAAUUAAACAAUAAAAGAUAUUAUCGGAAUAAGUUCUAACCAAACCUCGUUUUAUUUUUGUAUUCAAUUUCUUUUCUGUUUUCCGGAGAAUAUUAGAAGUCAAUAAUUUCAUCAUUAAAUUCCAAUUAAAAUCCAUGGAUGGAGCCAAUAAAAAACCUCCAGUUCCGACAAAAUAUAAAGAUAAUGCUUAAAAAAGAUUAGAAACCAGUACUUGCUGACGCUGGUGGAGACCUUUUUUCUUUUUUUCCUUUUGUCAACUUUUCAGUGGGUCAAGCAGAUUUAAAUGGCCAGUACAUAUGGUAUCACUAAAUUGCAAACUUCUUGAGCAUAGAUACAAUCAUUAUUAACUUACAGUUUGGGAAGCUAGACCCAAGGCAAGUUCUCGGGGUAGACCUGCAGCCACUCCGCCAUCAGCCAAAGCUUCAAUUGCCAAAAAUACAUAUGCUGGGCCACUGCCGCUGGUGAUUUUAGGCAAACAGAACAUUAAAUCAUCGCGAAGAGCAUUUUAUUUCAAUACGUGAAUGCAUAUCAAGUUUAUGCAUAUUGAAGCCUUACUGAAUUACUAACCAAAUUCAUAUCUUAUAAGCAUUAAAACUAUAUAAAAUUAUAAAUCAUUCCUUACCAUGGAUAUUGAUUUUGUGAUUUUAUUUUCCUAAGGAUCGUACCUCAAAGCAGUGAUUGCAUCAAACAACUUCUCAUCAGCUUUCCAUAUCUUACCAACUGAACCAAAUAAUUUGGCUAUUAAGUCUCCAUCUUCUUCAGUUGCGGCUCCACCCAAGCUCAUUACUGUUUAAAAACAAGUGAAUUAGAGAGCACAAAUUUCGUGCAAUUUGUAUGUGUAAGCCACAAACAAUAGAUUGCGAUAAGGAACUUGAGUUUAAAUAUAUGUAAAAUCUCACAAAGAAAUGACAAUUUGUGGGAAAUAAAGAAUCUGUCAACAUAGCUUUUUUUUUUUUUUUUUUGAAGCAAAAACCACCAAUAUAUUGCAAUCAGAUUUUUCAAUGAAGCAAACAAGAACAGUGAUCAUAUUUUGCUUGGGGUGAUGCUUCUCUUCACUACAAAUAUUAUUAGCCAUAAAUCGAAGAAGCAAAGCAAGCAUUAUACCAAGUUUUAUUCUAAAAGAAAAGACUGCUGGUGUUUGUUCUCCCAAUAAUUAUUCCUUGGCAAGUUCCAUGACAUUCACCUCUCAAAGCAAUUGAUUAAAUACUCCAAUCGACAACACAAAAAUGUGGUCUGGAGCCUUUAUAUUGAGUGACAGAAAAUUCAGAAUGAGAAACAUCAUAACAAGCCCAAAAUAAUUUUUUGAAACAUCCAAAGUUACCAAAAUCUGUGAAAAGUUCUGCAUGAAGCAGUCAAGCACUUAUCAUUGAUAAGAGAGUAAACAGAUAAAUUCUCCCUCGCAGCAGAUUUAGUAAGAAGCAGCUUUUUAUCUACCAUCAUAAAGAACAAAUGAACAAAUAAAUUUGCUGGUAAAAUCAAGAAUCAAAGACCAGAAAGAAAAGAUUUAGCAAUGUAAGUUGCCCAUGAAAACUCAAGAACAGCUAUCUGUACAAACAGGCAAUAUAUAAUGAUAAUGGUUAAUGACAAAGAACAUGUAAUGCUGCUGAAUUGAUAAGAAUGAUGAGAUGAUACAAGAUUACAAGUAGCACUAAAAAUAUAGAAAUGUACCUGAUGCUGCCUCGCCUACAGCUGCAGGAGUAUUUGGCAUCACCCUAAUAAAUCGACUGUGACCAGCCCACUCCUGAAGUAAACCAAAAUGAGAAUAUCACUUACACUGGAGUAUAUUAGUCUGAAAAAUAAGAACGUGAAAUUAAUCAAUUACAAAAAAUGAGAAUAGACAAUGUGAAACAAAUCAAAUAAACAACUAGCGCUCUGGCAUUGCAAUUUAGUCCAUAGAGGAAGAAAAAAAAAGAAGUUGAAAAGGUCUCAUCCUUGGAUUGACACAAGGAUUUAGCUUCUGGACAUCAAAGGGCCCACAAGGAAUCAAGCAUAUUUUUCUUUUUCCUCUUUUUAUACCUUUGUUGCCACAUAUAAAUUUCCAUCUCAAAACUCAUCAACAAUCAAAAAUUUAUCAUCAAGAUACUCAGACCACAGCAUCCACCAAAUAUUCCUAGGACAAUUGGGAUGCUAGACUUCUCAAACCCAAGUUCCCUAAAAAGGUGAUAGAAUAAGAUCUUGGAUCUGCCAGAGUAACUUAUAUGGAGAGAUUACACUGCUUUCCUCUCCAUUUUGAUCUGCCCAUGAAGUUCCAUGCACAUACAGAUACAUCGGAAAAAAGGAAGAGGUCUGUAUUUUUUUUUUUUUUUUUUUUUUUAACAUAUUUGUCACUUAAGUAAGCUAGAAAACAAGAAAUACAACACAAGAAAUACAACCAAAAUGUAAUGAAAGACAAAGUGGUAGAGUGGAAGAAAAGCUAAUAUCAAAUGAGCUGAAUUCACAAUGUUCAUAGCUCCUUAAGCACAAGGUAACUGCAGUUACAUCUAGAAUUAGCAAUUUGGCAGUCCAAGAAAAUAAGCUUGAUUACCUCACCUCAGCACCAAAAAUUAGCAAGUAAUUUAGAAAUUGGUUCUUCUGAAGAAUGACAAUUGAUUGAGCUGCUUGUGAGUUGUCUGCCCCCCAGUUUUUCUGAAUAUGCACUGAAUAAACUAUCCCUUUCAGUGGAGAAAAGCGUGCUUAGAAGAAUUGAGGUCCAUUCACAUGUUAGGGCCACAGAUGAUAACCAAAAGCAUUUUAUGUUUGGACCUCAUGUCAAGCUUGUGUAGAGUCUCACAGCCAACAAAUUAUAAUAUGCAAACCUAAUAAACUUUAAACUACAAUUGUCAGCAACUGUUUUAGUCUUCUACAAAAUUGAAACAAGAAGUAUUCUAGCCUCAAUUCCGAGGGUGAACGGGGGGAGAGUGUUCUAUGCUUCAAGUUGUUACAGAAAGUUACUUAGAAAACCCCAAUGUCAUCUUGGAGGUACAUUCCAUAGAAAGUACAAGAGAGAAUGUGAUCCAUGUGCAUGGAAUAUGUACAAUGUCAACCCUUGAAGAUGUACGUGAUAAAGAAAGGGAAAAAAGAAGAGAGAUAUAGAGAGAGGACGCGCCCAAAACUAAGACCAGCCAAGUUCCAACCUACCCAUAUUAUCUCAAAGAAUUGGGAGACUGGGGUUGGAAGCCUAAAAGAAACAAUGAAAGUGAAGGAGACAAUGCUAUUAGUCAUAAUGAUGCAGUAAAAUCGUAUUGGUUUCUUGGCAGCCUACUAAUCAGGGCUAGGUUUGAAAUGGAUGAAAAUGGAGAAUACAGUGAUUAUUUCAGAAGUGAGGACUACAAUAAUGUUAAAUAUUAAUCAAUAAAGAAGUAUAUGAACCUGUAAAUCUUUCAAUUUUGUUCCAGCAGCAAUCGAAACCAGAAGCUUCUUCUUCGUAAGAUGUGGACUCAAUUGCAAGACCACAUCUUUAACUGCAAGCAUACCAAAAAGAAGAAUACGAAAAUCAAAGGAAAAAAAAAAAAAACUCAAAAUCAGCAUUGGAGUUUUAAAAUCUAUUGUUAGUAUAAAUCCAAAAAGAACCCCAUAAAGCAAAACAUCCAUGGCUGUAAAUAGUAAUAUAGGAUAAAAGAGAUGCAUUGCUAACUCAACAUAACGAAGCUUCAACCAAUCUAGUACGAAUAGACUACACGGAUGUUUUCCUUCAUUUCUAUUUAAACACAAUUCUUUGUUAUUGAGAUGUUAAAUGCUCCUUUACAACUUUAACCUACAUCAUUUUAGCUCCACCUCAAAAACUCAUUUCUCAACACCAGUGCACCUUAGACCUAUAACAGCAUGGUCAAGCCAUCUCAAUCUGCCAUCUAUCAAAUUGCCCUCAGUAAGUGCCAUGCGGCCUCAUCUUCCACCUUUGACAAAUGUAAUAAUUUCAAUCAAAUCCAUUAUAUUUCUGAAAAUCCAAGUUAGCAUUCCUAUUUAUGAGCAAAAAUGUGUCCAUUGAUUUAGUCUUCUUUUUUUUUUUCUUAUAGGAAAGGUUACUCCAAUAUUUUCAAUGUCCAAUAUUUCUGAUCUAUUGAGAUAUGUUUUCUUAUCACUAAUAUUCCAAAUGGAGUUGAAGAUGAUGUCCAAUUCAAGCUUUUGUAUGUAUCUAUAACUCCAGUUCUGAAAGUGUUUUCACACUCGCUAAACCUAUAAUUUCAAAGUAUGUACCAAUAUAUACAAAAUCAUGAGUAAUGAUAGAAUCUAAAUUUAUAACGUGCAUUUUUAUUAAAAACAAAAAAACAACAAAAAAAAACAACUUUUUUUCUAAACACUUCCUUUCGAAAAAUUUUUUUAUUGAGAAUCAAAAUUUUGGGUUCCCAACUACCACCCUGUGGAUCUCUUUCACCAGCUCUUUCCAUCCAAGUUCAAAAUGUCAAAGAAUUGAACCAAAAAGAGAUUUUCAAAACACAAACUGAACCCUAUCAAUCAGCCAGUCCAUGAAGCAUUUAAAUGUCUAGAUUGAGGUUAUAGUUCUGCACAACCCAAAAGAAAAAGUGGAGUAACCAUAAACCAGAGCUAUACCAACUUGAGGUUUUACAGAGAAUACGACCACAUCACUGUCUUCAACUACCUGUUCCAAUGAAAACCAUAACCAUAAUUAAUACCCAUUAAAGACAAAGUUACAACUUCUUUUCAACUAUAUAUAUAUAUAUAUAUAUAUAUAUCUCUGUUUUAUAUAUAUAUAUAUAUAAAACAAGUUCAAAACCAUUUCAUGGAUUGCAACUACAUAUCAAAAAAGCAAAUUGAACUGUAAUGUCAAAUUAAGUAAAUGACUUAAAUAGAGUAAUAAAUGCAUAAUUACAUCUUGAUUACGAGGGAGUAUUUUGACACCGAAGGAUUCAAAUGCAGAGCAGCGAUUGGGAUUGGAAUGAGACGUACAGAUGCGAGAAGGAGGCAAAACGCCAGCUUGAACCACUCCUUUUGCUAUACUCUCAGCCAUUUUUCCAGCUCCAAUGAAUCCCAACUUGUAUGUUUCCGUUGGAAUGGGAACUCUCUCCAUUUUCGUCGCCACAACCACCGAACCUACACCACCGGCUACAAUAGCACAGAAAACCCAAGACCGUCGUCGAGACAGAAAAACAGAGUUCGAGUUGUAUGUCAACAGACGAUGGAUUGCUAUGUAUGCAUUUCUUUAAAUAAUUACUAAAAUUUUAAUCAUUUUAUGCAAUUUUCCAUAUUUAACAGUUUCAAAAUAUAAAAUGUAAAAUUUAUAUAUAAAUCUAUUUUAUUUAUUUUUAAUUUUACUAAAUUUUAAGUUACAAAUUUUUAAUAUAUUUUUGGUCAUUUGUAUAAUUUCGGUAAUUCUUAUAUUUGUGUCAAUUGAUUAUAAUUUUGGUAAUUUUUGCUAUGCAUUUCUUUAAAUAAUUCCGGUAGUCCUUUCGCUGAGUCACCCUUUUAUUAACAUUAACAAUUUGGAAAAAAUACACUUGACUCUUUAAAUUAAAUCCUGAUUAACUUCAUUCUUCCAUUUUCAAUAAAUAAAUAAUUAUGAUAUCUCUAUAGGUACUUUUAUUUAAAAAGUUAAUUGUUUGCCGUGGAGACAUUAUAGUAAUUAUUAAAAGUAAAGAGAUGAAAAUGUCAAUUAUGAUAUAAUUUAGAGAUGCAAAUUUAUUUUGACAUAACAAUUAAAAUAGUAUCAUUUUUAGCAUUAUUCAGCUAAAACAAAUAAUUUCUUUCUUUGCCUUCUUCUUCACCAAAAAUGAGCUAUAAAUGAGAUGAAACUCUACGAGAAGAGUAUGAGUCCCAAAAUAAUAUCAUUUAAUAUAAGUUUAAUUAAUUUUAAUUUUAUAAAACUUGAUAAAGUUAUUACAAGUUAAUGAGUUUGAGAACUCAACUAAUUUAUUAAACAAUUUCAAAGAGUUUGAACAAGCUUUUAUGGAAUCGAAAUUCAAUCAGCAAAUUGAAGCUGAAACAGUCUUUCAUGGCCAAAUUAUUCUUUUGUUUAUCGUCUUCAUCGAAAGCUAAGGUUCAAACCAUUCUCUUCCUUUUUUUUUUUUUUCCUAGCAAAGUUAAUAACGAAAGGCCUAAGAAACCCAUUACUGAGUAGUUCAUCUAGUCGCACGACUUGUUAUUGUUGAAUUAGAGAAAUUUGAAAAGUGAUGUUUGUUGGAAUUGAUGUUAAGUGCAUUGUACUUUUUUCUCUUUCUUUCAUGAAGAAAUCCAUUGGAGAAAGCUUUUUGCUUCUCUACCUCAGAGUUUCAUUGGUUUUUAUCCACGAAUUCGACUGCUCCAUUUUUCGGUGGUGGUUGCAAACAAUGAGUUAUUACACCGAAGAUACUUGUAAAUGUGGAGAACUCUCAGUAUAAAAUCCAAAAGUUUGAUUAGACACAGACCUAAAAUUUUUGAAUUUAAUUAGAUUAAUUGAAAAAGAUAAGGACUGACUUGAUCCUAAAAUACUAGGAAAAAGAAAGGUACCAAUUGAAGCUUCAAUCUUUUUUCUCAUAUGAGAAAAAAGAAGAUGUGGGAAAAUCUGAAUGCAUAACCCUAAUUAAGGAAAAAGGCGAUGCCAGAAUCUCAGUCCCCAAAUUUUUAUCGGCAACGUACAGCACUGAAAACACUAUCAACAAAGUGCAUCAGAGACUCUAAUUUGUUGCCUUUCAUCAGCGAUAACGAAAUCACAAUCUAAGAACACAAAUUAAUUUCAAAAAAGAAGGCUCAGAUGUUACUCCAUCGAUGAAAUCAAGAAGCUUCAUUUUGAGAUUUCGUAGUUUGAUUGCGAUUGAUAAGAAAGAAAAGGCCUCAGUAGCUAACAAUGCUUCGAUACAUCAACUGAGAAUAUCAUCAGAUGGUACGGACAAAUUGCAUAUGCAUCACAGGCCAAUGUUUGGAUUUUUCUCAACUAAAAAAGAAAAAGUUCUCACCUUUACCUUUUUUUUUCUAUAAUCGCAUCCACUCGACGAAUGCUGAGUUCGAGCGGCCAUUGGUAGGACUUAAAUAGCUCAGUACGCGGCGCCUACCAGAAACCCUAAUUUUAGUGUUGCUGCAAUUACGGAAAUGUCCAUUCAGUUCCAGGACAACAGCCCUAGUUGCCAUUUAAAGCAAUAAUUUUGAUUAAUUACGAAAAGUUCCCUAAGUUUAGUGUUUUUUUCAAUUUUAGCCCCUUUUUUUAAUCAACUAAAAGUUAAACCAUGAAUUUUUUAAAUUAUAUAUCAAUUAAAUAUAAAAUUAUACCAAUUUUACCAAAAAAAAUAAUAAUUACAAUACAAAUUAGAGAACUUGCCGUUCAAGUAUGAAUAUGCUGCUGCGUUUGGUAGAAAAAAGAAACAAUAACUAAUGGAGGGGAAAUAAUAAAUGAACGUAGACCUUUUUGUUUUUGUUUUCUAAAUAUAUCAAAUUCGUACCUUAUUGAUAUAUUGCACUAUAGUAUAUUCUAAAUUAUGCUUCUACCAUCAUCCAUGACGCUAAAGCUUCCAACUUCGCUGCGCCAAUUACCAACAACACAACUUGGACUUGCCUUCUCCAAGCCCAAUUAUCCGAAAAGCAUACUUAUUAGAAGGAUAAACAAUCUUUAAAUUCUACGCUAAAAAAUAAUAGCAGAACAUAUAUCUUCAUUAUUGAAAUAGUAAUUGAUUUUGCAUUUGAAAAUUAUUUUGUUUUUCUGUUUAAUCUUUUAAUUAAUUAAAGUUAAUCAGUCAUUUAACAACAACAAAUAUGUUUUAGAGAAGAACCAAAGAAAAUAGUAACAAGGUUAACCAAUGCUUUAUAAUAAAUUUAAUGCACCAUUUAUUGUAUUUCUCACAUUAUUAUUCAAAAUAUAUAAAAAAAAAAGAUAAUUUUUCUAUUCUAGAAAUUAUUAUUCAGUCUCAAUGGAUUUUUUUAACCAAAAUUGAAAAUUUUAUUUUUAUUGUUUUUUUUUUUCUUCUCAUUAUUCCCUUUGUCUUUAAUUUAAUUUUCUAGUUUCUACAUUAUAAAGAACAAGAUAAUCCUUGAGUUGGACGGGUCAAAAUCAGCAUACCUAUAAAAAUUGAAUUCCUCUUCACUAAGAACCUUCCCAAGUUGUUCCUCCCAAGUUCUAAAAAGACAACCCAUAAUAUCAGUACACGUGGCAAUAUCUCCAAUGUUUUUGAAAACUAUAUAAAUGAAAGAAAAACAACGUAUGUAAGCACAUCUUGAAAGGGAAAAAAAAAAUCUUGAAGAUAGAAAACAGAGCAAGCAAAAAUGGCACAAUUGUUCAUUAAGCAAGCAAAGCAAUAUGCAGAAGCCAGGCCAAGUUACCCGAAAGAAUUGUUCCAAUUCAUUGCCUCCAAGACACCCAUUAAAGACCUUGCUUGGGAUGUGGGCACAGGCAGUGGUCAGGCAGUUCACUCUGUGAGUCUUCUUCUCUCUGUUUCUCUCUCUCAGAACUCUAUCAUUUUUGUGCCUUUUUACUUUUUCUAAGAAUUGGAUAAUCAAGUUUGUAUAUAAUCCCUUUCAUAGUCUCUAACGUGUUUAAGCUAAGAGAAUAUCAAAUUACUUGCUAUUUUUCUGAUUUGUAAUCACUUUCCAGUUAGCUGAGAUCUUCAAGAAUGUAAUAGCCACAGACACGAGCUCGAAACAGCUAGAAUUUGCACCUAAACUUCCAAAUGUCCGAUACCAGCAAACUCCACCAACCAUUCCAAUGGAAGAAUUCGAACAAUAUAUCUCAAUAGAGUCAAGUGUAGAUUUAGUCACAAUUGCUCAAGCCAUGCAUUGGUUCGACUUGCCAAAAUUUUACCAUCAAGUGAAAUGGGUACUCAAGAAGCCCCAUGGAGUCAUUGCAGCCUGGUGUUACACAGUUCCAGAAGUUAACGACUCAAUUGACUCUGUCUUCAAACCAUUUUACGCCAUUGAUUCCGAGCCUUAUUGGGAAGCGGGGCGUAAAUGGGUAGAUGACAAAUAUCAAAAUAUUUAUUUUCCAUUUGAACCAGUUGAAGGAAGUGAUGACACGGGACCAGUUAAGUUUGUAAUAGAGAGAGUUAUGAGGUUGGAUGAUUUUUUCACUUACUUGAGGUCAUGGUCUGCAUAUCAAACGGCUAAGGAGAAAGGUGUAGAUCUUUUGAGAAAUGAUGUGAUUGAAAAGUUCAAGAAUGCUUGGAAUGAAGAUGGGAGUGAUGAAAAAGUUGUUAAGUUUCCUGUUUAUUUGAGGAUUGGUAAGGUUGGGAAUAUUUGAGAUUACUGUAAGUGGUUAGAUGGUUUAUUGCAUAACCAACAAAGGGUAGAGAAUGAUAAAGUCAUCAUGAUUCAUUUUGUAUUGGGAGAGAAGAACAAAAUCUUCUUUUUCCUUUAAUGAAAUUGUUCUAUAAAGUUGGGUUUGUGUCUUUUAAUGAUAUGGCAAUAAAAUAGUAUUUAAGAUUAGAUAAUUAAAUCAAGAUUCUAUUAAGAAACUUUAACUCAAUGUUAAUACUAGUAGCAAGGGCCAAGGGGUGAUGGCCUUUUACCUUUGGUUCAAUAAAUUAUUUAAUUGUAUUUUGUUUCCUCUCCUUGUGGGUUGUACACUCUUAAUGGGCUUUGUAACGAAUUUUACUACCGUUCAUGGGUUUUGAAAUUAUUGUGACUGCUGUCGGUAGUGUAGAAUAUAUAAUAUUCACGGCAUACAGUAACUUAUGGUUAAAAAAAGAGAAAAAUAAUUUUAAUCCUCCAAAUAUUGAAAAUUAAUCUAAAAGUCCUGUUACUUUUAAGAAUUAACUUCAAAAUCCCUUGUUUUUAUUUCUGUUUGCAAUUUUAUAAGGUCCUUCCGUCCAAAAACUAAAUUUUUUUCAACUAUAUGCAAGGGAACAAUAUAAAUAUGUUCCUAAAUUAAAUCAUAAUUAACACUUUAAGUCUUAUUACUUUUAGAAAAUCACUAUCACGUUUCUAAUUUUUUCUGUUAAAGUACGGAUCAUUCAAGAUUUUAGAGAUUUCUUUUGUAACCAUUUAUGUUUUUCACCGUCUUCAAGCACUUCUUUAUUCACCAUUUUUUGGAAUUCUUCAAGAUUUUGAGAAUUUGUUUUUAUUUUUACCAUAAAAAUUAGGGAUGUGAUGGUAAUUGAUGGGAAAAGAAGCUUAAUUCUUGAAUGAAGGACUUGAGAUUAGGACGGAAGCAAAAAUAAGGACCUUAAAGUUAGUUCUUGAAAGUAAUAAGACUUAUAUCUUGAUUUUAGUAUAAUUUAGAGACUCCAAAUUAUUUUUUAAAACAAAAAAUGUCAAAUAAAAAAGACUUCUUUUUAUUUUUUUUAUUUUUUUGAAUACAAAUUAACUUAUUUGAAAUGUAAUAUUAUCGAUAGAUUUAUAAGAAUUUUAAUUAUAAUUUUAUAGUUUUUCCUUUCAAAAUUGUUUUCUAUAUAGAUAUAACUCAUAGGCCAAUUGAAGUUCAAUAAUAAAAGAAAUAAAUUUAGGAAUGAGCAAAUUGAAAAUUAAAUUUUACCAAUUAAAUUUCAAUAUUUGAUUUAGUUGGAUUUUAGAUUUUGAUAUAAGCCAAACUAGAACAAAAUACUGUGCAAGUCACGAAUAUCAACUUCGAAGAAUAUUCAAAUACUGAAUAGAUUCCAACAAUUUGGCUUGUAUUACUAUUUACUAAAGAAGAAUAACACUUGAUAUUAUUAGAAAUGUCAUAAUAUGUCAUUUUGGUAAAUCAAAAAUAUUAACACACUCUUAAAUUAAUCACUAUUUAAGUCGAAUUAUAAAUUAAUUCCUAAUUCAUCCAUAACGGAUAAUUCAAAACACUUCUAACCGAUGACAUAUUAUACGACUCUAUUAGCUUCUCUGUUGCUGCUUAAUUGGUUCUAUUCUGCAAAUUAUAAGUGACAAGAGGAAUACGUUUUUAUUAAUUUUAAAUUCUUAAAUUUUAAUAUUUUUAUAUUAGAUUUGUAUUUUUGAAACUAAUUGUAAAUAAACAAAAAUUUUUAAAAAAAUUUAAAUUCUGUAUGGAAAGAGGGUCUGCAUGAUACUAUCAUAUAUUAACUAAACCAAAACAUCCAGAAUUAUUAGAUGCAAUGUUGUAGUAGUUGCUUUGUAGUCAAAAGGGCUAUAUGGCUUUUGCCCAAUAAAAUUUUUAAUUUUCUAUGUAUUGACCCAAUGUAUUAGGUUUCAAAGUAUUAGUAUUAUUAAGCGUUUCUGAAAAUACUGACGAUACUUAUAUUAAAUUAGUGAAACUCUUAUCCGCUAAUAAGGAAUGGCUUAAACGGUGAUCUUCGUAAGACAAGGGAUUCCUAAUUUUUAAAAUCAACAUGCGCCUUGUUUUAUUUGCUCUAUGGGCUAGCUAGGUUAGUUCCCCACAUAAUUUCUAAGGCUAAAUAUAUCUCUGGUAUUUUGCAGCUUUCAACAUAUAUAUUCACAUGCAAUCUGCAGAAAAAAAGAAAUUAAUCAUAUCAUACCUUUCUUUCCUUUUUCUAUUCCCCUUUUGACCGUUUAUAGCUAUGCUUUCACUAUACAUUUGAUAUUACAAUUGCAUAAUUUCGUAUUUAUCUUGUAGAUGAAGAUAAGAAAUUUUAAGUAAGUAUUCAAGAGAGAAUUUUCAAAUGCAUGGGUCAAAUGUAGAUUGCGCUUAAAUUUAUCCAUAAUAAGAAUAUAGUUCUUAAUAAAAGGAUACAUUGAUGUGAGAAUAUUCAUAGUUUUUUUUUAUUCAUUUCAGAGGUUCAAUAUGCCGAAAUAACACUGCAGACUAUAUAAUAAAAGUAGCUCUCUCUUUAACUCGCAAAAUUGGUGAAAAUUCUUGUGGUAGAGAGAACUCGAACUUGAGAUUCUUCACUCUUUAUAUAAAUAAAAAGAUAACCAGAUAACAUCUGGUUGGCGAGAUCUAUAAUUUUUAUUCCAAUCAAAAAAGUUUUCUGUGCUUGUAUAUAUGGCACUGAAAAUUUGGUUACUUUAUCUUUAAUCAAAACAGCUCAUCACCUCAGUAUGCAAGAAAGAGGGUAGGAGAGGAUUGGUCACAUAGAUUUAUGACUUUUUAUAUCUCUCCCCUUUCAUGGCACCAGCUUUCUAUUUUCCUUGCAUAAUUUCCUCUCUCUUUACCUUCUCUUCCUUUCUAACAAAACCCAAUUCUCUCCUUUUUAUUUUAUUAUUCAUUUUCAUACCAAACCCAAUCAUGCAUACACUAACCAUUAAAGUUAUGAAUUCCCAUUUCCCACACUCAACCACUAAAAUCCCAGAAAAACAUUAAUCUCUUCUCCUUAACCUACAUGCAUGCAUUUCUCCACAGAUAACCCCUAAACAUUUUUUUUUUUGUUUUCUCUACCAAGAAUUCUAGUCCAUUAAUGGAGUCUCAAGUAGAGUCAUCUCUUUCUUUUUCUUCUUCUUCUUCUUCUUCUUCUUCUUCUUUUUCUUCUUCUUCUUCAUCAUGGAGUGGUAGAGUUCCUCCUCUUUCAGUCUCUCAAGGAACAGAAUUUGACCAGCACCAUGUGAUGGAGGAUGAGGAGACAUCAGUGGCACUUGGUGAACGCCUGAGAUUCAUUGACAUUGAAUGGAAGGAAGUGGAAAAACGUUUUGAUAGGCUGGCUUUCACCGGAAAAGCCCCUGAACCGGUCGUGAAGUGGUCGGAUUUUGGUUUUUGUAUAGGUAACAAGAAUUGUCUAUUAAGUCUCAAAUAUUUUGCUUUUCCAAUUGAGACAAAAUAAGGGUAACGCACAAAUUGCAUGAGAUUUUGUUCAUGGCAUCACUAUCUUCUUUCCCUUUUUGACCAAAUCUUUUCUUGAAUAUUUCUAGAAAAAACAUAAUGUAAUAAUUAUUUGGUAAAUAUGAUUAGGGUAAUUAUUUGGGAUUUCAUCACAAUUUUUGUUGACUUCCCAAAGAAUUUUCCAAUUUCAAAAUUGACUUUUUACUAAUUUCUAUAUUGUUAUGUUUUAAAAAAACUCAUAAUUUCAGCAUAUUUUAAUGUUUUCGAUUACAAAUACAACUGUUUUUUUCAAAUAUUAGAGAGGGGGAUUCGAAUCUGAAUUUAUUACUAGGUCCUAUAUGCACUUACUACUAUGCUAUACAUUGGGGUGUCACAAAUAUAUAUAUUUUUUAUUUCUACAUUAUUACACAUUUUAAAUCCUUUUAUUUAAUAAUUUUUUUAUAAAGUAAUGCAAUUUUAAAUUAUGUACUUAGCUAAGCUUUAUUCAAGAAACUGAUUCCUAUAUAAUAAUAGAGUGUAUGAUAGUCAACCAUACAAGAAUAAUAAUAGAAGUCUCAACAACUUUUUAUUGGUGUGCUUUUUGGGCAUCCCUCACUUUUUUUUUUCUUUUUUACACAAUAUUAUUAAAAGAUUAUCCUAAUAUUGGUUAAAAAAUGAAUCUAGCCAACCACUAAAUUAUAUUCGAGGUUAUAAUAAUUUGCAUAGUGGUUAAUUUCUUGUAUCAAUACUAAUCAAAUAUGAUUUAUUAAUUAAUGUUGACAAAGGAAAUAAAAACCCUUUACCUAAAAUAUUUUUACUACUACUAUUUUAUUUUAAUUUAUUUUUUGUUGUUUUGUAAUGCUCUUUUUUUUAAUUUAAUUACUAAAAAAAAUAUUGCCUUUUUUAUUUCUACAGGUAUGCAACAAUCACCAGAAUUUGCUAAAGAGGUUUUAAUGGCAAUAAGAGGAAGAGGAAAAAAAAGUAAAAUUGAUAUGACAAAAAGAGAACUCCAUGGUUACUGGCAUAGAUUGACUGACCCUUGCUUCAAUUCAAGAGUGAAAAUUUUCUUUGACAUGUAAUUUAUCAAUAAUGAUUCUGCAAAUUCUUUUUUUUUUUUUUUUUUUUGAAAAGCAAAUUCUUAUUUUUCUUUGACAUGGAAUUCUUUAUAUAUAUAUAUAUAUAUAUAUAUAUAUAUAAAUGUUUAUCCAACCAAUAUUUCUGAUAGGUUCUUUUUUCAUUCAAUGGCUUUUUUUCCUUCAGGUGUGACAAAAAUAUGGAUGGAAGAAUUAAUAAGAUGGACAUCAAGCAGGUUGGGUCAAAUUUCCCUAUCUACAUAUAUUAUAUAUUCAAAUUAUACAUUGGAGGUUGCUCACCUAGUACAAGAAAACCAAAGUUUUAAACAUGCUUUUUUUUUCCUUAAUUAAUUCUGUUUGAAAAAAAAAUUCAAUUCUUUCAUUUGAAUAAGGUAAUUUACAGAACGCAAAUACUUUUGAAGUAUUAUAGGUCAUAUAAUUGGAUUGUUUUUUUUUUUCUAGUCUGUAUAUUGAGCGAUGGAAAAUCGAAUCUAAUUUUUCUCAAGUUAUAUACGUACUUAUUAUCAAGAGUGCUGUAUAAUUUUAAAUUUAUAUUUUAAUCUAAGAACAAGCAUUGGGUCAAUUUUGUUCGAUUUUCACAAAAUUAAAAUAAUCGAGACCAAAAAAAUUUCAAAAAUUAUUAAAAUUUUGUUUUGGACUUUUGACAGAAUAUUUUGCUGAUUGCUUCAACAAAUAAAUUGUCUCUAACACAAGACCAAGCAGAGGAAAAUGCUACUUUAAUCAUGGAAGCUCUUGACACUCAAGGCCGGGGCUUUAUCGAGGUGCUCAAUUUAAACUUUUUUAUUCAUAUAUUUAUAAGGUUUUAUCAAUUUUAAUCUAAUUAAUAAUUAAUUUGCAUGAAGCUAUCUCAACUAGCAGCUCUCUUCAAAAUAAGCUUACCAAUGAGGGGCUCACUAUUACCCAACAGAAAUCACAAAAGUAACAGUGACCUGGAAGAUCACCAAGAUGAUCAACCAAUCAUGUCAAAGCCAGAAGUGUUGUUUCGAGCUCAUUGGAGGAGAGGAUGGAUAGUUGUGAUUUGGUUGGUGAUUUGCCUGUCACUUUUCACAUGGAAGUUUAUUCAAUACAAGCAUAGAACAGCUUUUGAAGUAAUGGGUUAUUGCCUUUGCACUGCUAAAGGAGCAGCUGAGACCUUAAAAUUUAACAUGGCUGUCAUUCUUCUUCCUGUUUGUAGAAAUACCAUUACAUGGCUUCGCAGGAAAGCAACAAUCAAUUCUUUUGUACCCUUCAACGAUAAUAUCAACUUCCACAAGGUAAUUUUUAUUUUUAUCUUUCUAUCAAUAUUUGUUUCCGUACAAUAUAUUUCAUUUUCGUUGUACAGUCUUUCUCUUAUAAGUUCGACCUUAUACAGAACCAUCUUGUUAAAAAAAUAUCAACCUUUCUAUUGGAGCAUGUAAAAUAUAAUCUAAUCAAAAGGUUUGCAACCAAUAAAUACAGUUAAUUGCAGGAGGAAUAGUGGUUGGUGUUCUACUCCAUGGAGGAACUCAUCUAGCUUGUGAUUUUCCGAGAAUUAGUGGAUCUAAUCGAUCAAUUUUCCGGCAAACUAUUGCCGCCCGAUUUGGGUUCCAUCAACCUUCGUAUGUACAAAUAUUAACCACGACAGAAGUAGCAACGGGAAUUGCAAUGGUAAUACUAAUGGCAAUUGCAUUUUUGCUAGCAACAAAAUGGCCCCGUCGCCAAUCGCCUUUGCUGCCUAAAUCUGUUAGAAAUGUGACUGGUUAUAACGCUUUCUGGUACUCACAUCACUUGCUCAUUCUUGUCUACGUCCUGCUCAUUGUUCAUUCAAUGUUCCUCUUUCUAACAGACAACGUAACUGAAAAAACGGUAAGCAUGCAUUUUGUUGAAACUUUCAGAAAUUAUCUAUUUCGCCUCCUCAAAAUUCAUAAAAUUAUAUUUUGCUUAUUUUUUGUAGACAUGGAUGUACGUUGCAUUUCCAAUCAUGUUAUACACCGGAGAGCGUUUUGUUCGAGCCAUAAGAUCAGGGUUUUACGAUGCAAAGAUUUUGAAGGUAACUCACUUUCUUAAAAUGAAAUAAUCAAGAGCGCGUUUAAUUCAGCUAAUUCAUAUCGAACAACUAGAUUAUUUAAGUACUAUAAUUAUUAUAUUUUUUUAGCUAAUUAAGCACUACGCUUCACUAUAUGAGCAGGCAAGUAUUUAUCCAGGGAAAGUUUUGUGUCUCAAGUUGCACAAACCAGAAGGUUUCAAGUACAAGAGUGGGAUGUAUAUUUUCUUACAAUGCCCUCAAAUUUCUUCAUUUCAAUGGUAACUAAACUACUUAUAACAAACAUUUCAACUAGUAAUUAAGUGAUAUUUAUAAUUUAAAUUAACUAAUUUCAUUAUCUUCUUAUUGCUUUUGUCCUUUCCCAAUUUCAGGCACCCAUUUUCAUUAACUUCAGGGCCAAAGGAUGAUCACCUAAGUGUCCAUAUUAGAACUCUUGGAGAUUGGAGUUAUCAAAUAUACAGUCUCUUCCAAGAGGUAAUUAUAUAAAUUCACCAAUCAACUUUGGUUCAAGAUUAAUAGAAAGCUAAAUUUAUAAAAAGCUUCAAGAUUUUAUGAGUUUUGCAGGAAAUAUUAUCUGGUGGAGUAAAGACGAAGUACCCAAAAAUUUACAUUGACGGACCUUAUGGUUCUGCUUCACAAGAUUAUGUCAAGUAUGAUACAGUGAUGUUAAUUGGGCUUGGAAUAGGAGCCACACCUUUCAUUAGCAUCCUCAAAGAUCUAGCUAAUUUUGAUCAGGUAAUUAUUCUCCAUCUUUCGAAUAAAACUAAUUUUGUCGAACGUGAAUUAUAAUAAUUGAAAGAGUAUAUUCUACUUAAAUUUAAAAAAAUUAGUCACAAUCUUUCAGUUACUUUUAAAAAUAUAGAAAUAUAUAUUUAUAUAGUCAAUAAUUUCAGUCAGAAAUCAUAGUAAUUUAUCCAAAUUUCUAUUACUUAAUGGUGUUAUCUAACCACAUAAAAAGGUAUUCUGACUCCAUGCAGGCCAAUUGUGCAGAAAGCAACAUUUCAAGAGGUCCAUUAAAAGCUUAUUUUUAUUGGGUAACAAGAGAACAGAGCUCCUUUGCUUGGUUUAGAGAUAGCCUCAGGGAAAUAUCAAAAACAAAUGAAAAACUGGUAAUUAUUUAUAUUUAAACAUUUCUUUUUCUCUCUGUUUUUUUUUUUUUUUUUUUUUCUAACCAUUAAUUCCUAAUUUUGUCUUUCUCCUUUUAGGCUAUUAUUGAAAUGCACAACUUCUUAACUAGUGUAUAUGGAGAAGGAGAUGCAAGAUCUGCUUUAUUAAGUCUCAUUCAAGCAUUGAACCAAACCAAAAAUGGCGUUGAUGUUGUAUCUAGAACUGAGGUAACUCAUUUAAUUAAAAUUAAAAUAAGAUAUAAUACUAUAUUUAUUAUUAUUUAUUAAAAUUGAAAUUGAAAUGUCUAACCAAUGGAGUUUCUUAGGUACCAACACAAUUUGGUCGUCCAAAUUGGUUCAACAUCUUCUCCAAAUUGGCAUCUAGACACAGAGGAGAACGUAUUGGUAAGCUGAUUCCCCAUUUCUUUCUCAAUAAUUUAGUACUAAUUUUAAUAACCUGUAAUUAAUAAUUUUAAUAACAGUUUUUAAAUAAUAAUUUAAGGAAGAAAAUUAGGUUGGAUUGAUUUAAUGAUUGUUCUUAGAACACUUAAGAAAUAAAGAGAAAACAAGAUGGACAAGAGGAUUUAUAAUAGUGUAAGAGAGACAAAUAUUAAUUUUUUUUCUUAAGAAAAAUUGAGAGUUUGAUUGUUAUCAAUGAAGUAAAUACCCGUUAAGAGUGCUUUAUUCUUAAUAAGCUGAUAAUUACUUAUUAGGGAGUAAACUCAAAUGAUAAUACUUAAUUAACAAACUUUUUUUUUCUUUGGCAUAGGGGUGUUCUACUGUGGCGCAUCAGCACUAGCAAGGGAAUUGGAGAGGUUGUGCACCAAUUUCUCAACCAAAACAACUACUAGAUUUGUAUUUCACAAGGAGAACUAUUAGACCUCAUACAUAGAGCGAUUUAAGAACAUGAAAUUAUUUCAUUAUUUUUCGAGUAAAUGGAAAAAAAUUCAUUUAUUUUUAUUUACAUUUCAAUUGUAAUAAUUCUCUUUUUUUUUCUCUUUUUAUCGUAGUCAAUUAUAAUCUAUAAUUAGAUAAAAUAAUAAUGGUUAAAAUUUACAAGUUAUAUAGUUAUUUAAAAGUCUAAUGUCUUACUACUGAGAAUUUUAAAUUAAAAAAAUUUUGAGCUAUCAUUUUAAAUAAAGGUUAAUUGGAGAAAUAUAUAAAUAAAUGUUACUCCUAUUUUCAAAUAGUGUACAAUAAUUAUUAAAGUUGAGUUUUGCUUGGAUUUUAGGCAAAAAAAUUUUCAAAAAAUAGAAAACAUAAUAAUAAACGAAACAGAUUUUAUUUUUAAAAGCUAUAUCCAUCGUGUCAUUAAUUAGAUGAAUCGAUUUUAUGUCUCAUUCCGACUAAAUUCAGGUAGAUAUUUAAUGGAUGAAUAAAAUUUAUAGGUUUCGAUUGUAUAUAAUAUUAAAAUUUUCUUUUGCUACAUAUAAAAAUUAUUUUAAAAGAGUAAAAUUGGUUUAUAUAAUAUAUGGGGUAAAAAGGUUAUAAACGUCAUUGUUAUCAUUCUUAAAAAAGUAAUAAUAGUAAUAAAAUAAAAUAAAAUAAUAAUAGCAUAGUAAGGAAUCGUUCAUACUUCAUAGGUAAAAACCGUAAAAGUAUUUACAAAUUUUCCUUUUCCAUUAUUCAAAAAAUAAUAAUAAUGAAAAAAAGAAAAUUGCAGGUCGGUGAUGCCGUGAUGGUGGCUUCUCAGCACAAAUAGGGACACGUGUCUUUUCACAGAAGUCAAUUUCUUAACCCUCAGUCUUAAAUCUCUCUUGAUUCCCAAACGAUCCCAUUUCUUAACCCUCUUCUCUUUCCUUGCCUGUAUCUCACACAAAGCAAUUACAAACACCAAAACCUAUAUAUAUAAAAGCUUCACACUACUUCAAGCAAAUCACCAAGCUAUGGAGGCAAAGAUCGGUAAGUUCUUCGAUUCCGUCGGCUCCUUCUUCUCCGGUGGCGAUCAGAUCCCCUGGUGCGACCACGACAUCAUCUUAGUAUGUAUUCUUAUUCUUAUACUUGUACAUCUACAUUUCAAUUACAAAUUCAAAAGUGACAGUUGUAGAAUUUAGUUUGUAGGAUUUGAUAGCUGUUUAUGAAACUUAGGUUUCUCUUUUCUCCAUAUUAGAAAAUCUUGUACAUGCGUGUUUAUUGAUUUGCUUAGUUAGGUUCAUGCUUUGUUGUGUUUUCUCAGGGCUGCGAGAGAGAGGUUGCGGAAGCUGCUAAGGGUGAGUCAGAUGAGCUUAAGAGUGAGAGCAUUAUGCGGUUGUCGUGGGCUCUUGUUCAUUCUAAGCGACCAGAAGAUGUGCAGCGUGGAAUAGCUAUGCUUGAAGGUAAACCAAGUACAAAGAUAAUGGAAAGGUGUAAUUAUGCCUUGCUUUGCUCAAAUUUUUUCGAGGGUUUGUUAAAUUUUUUAUGAUGAUGAUUUUGGAAAUGGUAAUUGUUAGUCUGUUCUAUCUUGAUUGGAGAAUAAAUAAUUUGGAGAAAAAAAAGUUGAUGAGAGCAGAAGGAUUGGUAUAAAUGUGGAAACUGGACUCAACUCCAUAAUUUCCUUGUCUUUCCACUAAUUUUAAUUUGUCAAAGUACCACGCCCAUCUCUGUCAUGAUGAAUUCAAAAGGAUAAGCAUUGAGAGUUCUUUUUCUCUUUUUACUUCUCUUUUGAGAUGGAUAAGUUUUUAAGUUUAGGAUUUGUUUUGGAUGUGUAAUCUCUGGAUAACAAUUAGGAAAUGUGGAAAUUAACUUAUGUGUUAGUUUACUGAUGGGAUGAAUAUGGAGAAUGAUUAGAGUGAGGCCAUGGUACUUGAAGGCUGAUGAGCCUUUUUCUUUUUGAUAAAUUAUUCACUCCUUUUUUCUCUACAUGACAAAAAUUUUUUUUUUUAACUUUUCUAUAUUCUUCUCAUUACAUCUGAAUGUCCUCCAGUCAAUUGCAUCUUCCUUACUAGUGUGUGACAUCUUGGUUACACUAUUGAAAGAAGCGUAAUUAAUUGUUUUGUGUUCCUAUUUUUUUUUUUUUUUAAUGCAUGGUUGAUGUUUCAUUUGGUAUGCCUAGUGUCAACUGACAUAGAAGAUACAACUUGCCAUUCCAUUUAGUAAAAUACUCUAUUACAUGACUCAUCAGUGACUCCCUUAUCACUUCCCACUUCUGCUAGAAUCAAAAAAGAAAAGAAAAAAACAGCGUUCCUUCUUUUUUUCUUUUCAGUGCACGCAUGUAUUGAUUGGUUAUGAUCUUUUACAUAAUUUAGAGUUAUUGUUAUUGUAAAAUUGUUGGAAAUUUACUUCGACUGUGUCAAUUUAGUCAAGAUAUUGUUUAUUUCUCUUUAAUGGUACUCAAGCCAGUUUCACUAAUCUUCUUUUUCAUCUUCAACCCAUCAAUUCUGCUCGAGUGGUGCUGUUACGGGGAAAUGCAUAUCUCUGAAUUCUUCACAAUGUUUAUGAUGUAAUUGGCUCAUAAACUUACCAGGCAGCAUAGGCUAUUGAAAAUUAGGGGAAUAGAAAGAGAGAGGAAAACAUUAUCGUUUUCGGGGUGGGGUGAAGGUUUCAAGGGGCAUGAAGUUGAUUGCCAUCUGUUGAUCCAUUUUAAUUGAGAAUCUAUGGAGUUUGUAAUGUGUCGGAACACCCGUGUAACAAACUAUUAGGCCAUUUACUAGCAUUUGUUUUGGAAUCAGUUUGAUGUCCAUUAUGCUAUAGUUUUAUCUAUAAAACGAAAGUUUUCUCCUGAACCAAAUACCUCAUUGUUUGCAGCAUCAUUGUCGAAUAGUAGCUCUCCUUUACAACAGCGGGAAAAGAUUUAUCUUCUGGCUGUUGGAUAUUACAGAAAUGGUGAAUAUUCAAGGAGCCGACAGCUUGUGGACCAAUGCUUGGAGGUCUCUCUCAUUUUCUCUCACUUGCAUAUUUAAACCUAGAUCCUGAUUCAUGGCUUACAAAAUAACAACUUAUUUGAGAUGUGACAUUUUGUUAAAGGGUUCAGGAUAAGAUCAUUGUAUUGCCUCUUUUGCAUUUUUGGGGUUUCAGUAAAAUGUCUUUGAUUCUUAUUUAGAAUGCAUGGAAGAUGUUACUUAAUUACUUACCUUGAGCUAAAUUGAUUUUAUUUAUUUGGUCCUUUAUUUUGAAACUCAUGUUUUUAUAGGUUGCACCUGACUGGAGGCAGGCUCUGGUCCUCAAGAAGACACUUGAAGAUAAAAUUGCUAAAGGUUUUUCCUAUAAAUAUACUUGAAUUUUUCUCAUUCUCAACUUUAAUCUAAAUAUGUUAUCAAUGCAUAUGACCAAACGAACUCCCAUCGCUUUUGUUUGAAUGCAGAUGGCAUUAUUGGAAUAGGCAUCACUGCUACUGCUGUGGGACUCAUAGCUGGUGGAAUUGCUGCUGCACUGUCUCGCAAGAAAUGAUAAAAUCUUGGUCGCAACAAUGUGCAAAAGGAUAUGCUUCUGUGGCUUUUUCUCUCUCUCUUUUACAUCUUUUCUUUUGAAACAUAGAAGAACGUUUAAACUAGUCGCAUAUGGUCAAGUUGUAGCGUAACAAUGUUUAAAAUUCUGUACAAAUACCUAUAUAUGUUUUGCUUUCUUGAUUUGGAUUCAGACUUACUUUCAUAUGUAGAUUGAGCUCUGAGAUAUGAAAUCGUGUUGCUUUCUUGUUGAGCUGAAUUUGUAUUCUUACAAAUGUUGUUCAUUUCAUAUAGAUUUUGGAUAUUUUUAUGGGUCAAUUUUGAAAAUAUUGUUAGAGAACAAUACACAAAUAUUUCUAGUGCGAAUAAAAUAAUAAUAUUUUCAUUAUUUUUCAUAUAUUUGAUAAAUUUACUGUUACAUCAAAUAAUACAAUAAUGAUAUUUUAUUAUUUUUUUCAAAGUUAACUAUUUAGUUUCUCCCUGAGUUUAAAUCGGAAAGGAGUUGAAGGAUUCAGUUUGUUAAGCUGUUCAGCAGCCCAUUUUCCCAAUCUUGAGCAUCCAUGCUCUUUACAAGCAUCAAAAACUCUCAUCAGCAUAGGGGCAGUGGGAUCAAAUGGCAUCCCCUUCACAAAAUCCUCUAGCUCAUUCAUGCACCGAUACCGGCUGAAGAUUUCUAUCAUACAUUCAUAGUGCUCCAACCGCGGUAUUAUGCAAUAUUCCUUGCCCAUUGAAUCGAAAUACUGGCUAGCUAACUCGACAUGACCCUCGAACAUGCAAGCAAGCAACAGACCUUGAAUGGUAGCAUGGUCUGGCUUAACACCUUCCUCCUGCAUCACUCUAAACAAUUUGAGUACCUCUUUGCCUCUUCCGUUGUGACAGCAUCCCAGUAUUAUGGAGUUCCAAAGAACCAAAUCACGGGAAGAUGUGUCUCUGAAGACUCUCAGAGCAUAAGCAAUAUAACGACAUUUGCAAUACAUGUUUACUAGAGCUCCACUCAUCACAAUAUCUAUUUCGUAGUUGUUUCUAAUCACGAACCCAUGUAUUUGUUUUCCCUGAUCAAGAGCAAAAAUGUUUGCACAAGCAGCCAAUAGAGUUCCGAAGGUGAAGCUAUCAGGUUUUGUCUCCCAUUGCAUCUCGCCAAACAUAACCAUAGCUUGUUCACUCUGGUGGUGGCGGGCAUAGCUAGUUAACAAUGCAUUCCAGGAAAUGCUAUCCCGGGAUUGACUCAUUUGGUAAAACCAAACUCUAGCACUUCUGAAGUUCCCACAUUUUCCAUACAUGUCAAGAAGCGCAUUGCCAACAAGGAGGUUAGAACUGAAACCAUGUCUAUAAAUGAACCCAUGAACAUGUUUUCCUAUUUCGACAUCCGAAAGGCCAGCACACACAUUUAACAGCAAUCUCAAGGUAAUUUGGUCAAGGUCUUCAGUUGUCCUGCGCAUCGAACAAAAAAAUUCCAAGGCCUCAUUCCAUUGGAAAGAACGAGAGUAGCCUGCCAACAUAGCAUUCCAUGAGAUCAAACUACGUUCAGGCAUCUCUUCGAAAAGUUCUCUUGCCUCUCUUGUUCUCCCACUCAUUGCAUAAGCUGACACCAUUGAUGUCCAAGAUAUCAAAUCUCUCGAACCAGAUUGGUCAAAAACCAAGCGUGCACUCUCUAUUUUCCCACAGUUAGCAUACAUUUUACUUAGAGAACAUGAAACUGCCUCAUUUUCGUCAAAGUUGGCCUUGAUUGCAACUCCAUGAAUCUGCAUCCCCUCCUGGAUUGCAUGCAUAACUGAACAAGCAAUGAGUGCAUUAGAGAAGGUAAAACUUAAUGGCCUAACAUUUGUAUUAAACAUCUUAAAAAACAUUGCCACCGCCUCCCUUUCAUUGCCUGCCUCAAGAUACCUCCUAACGAUCACAUUCCAAGUAACAUCAUUAGCAUUCUCAAUCUCAUCAAACAUCAACCUCGCUUCACUCAUAGCCUUGCACUUGCCAUACACAUCAACAAGUGCACUUCCCAAAAUCACAUUCCUAUAAAACCCAUAUUUCACUAUAAGCCCAUGAAUUUGCCUUGAAAAAGAAAGCGCCAACGCAUCACUACAAGACCCCAAAACACUAGCAAAUGUAAUCUCAUUAGUAACAACUCCUUCCCUUCUCAUAUCCUUAAACAAAUCCAAAGCUUUCUCAGAGCUCCCACAUUGUGAAUAAGCUCUAAUAAUUGCAUUCCAAGACCCACCAUCUCUCUCAGGCAUUUCAUCAAACAGUCCUUUUGCAUCCGCCAAACAACCACAUUUCCCAUAAGUCUCAAUGGCACGAUUCAAAAUAUAAAUUGGUGGCCUUGGAGAGAAUGUUACCAAAUGGGAUUCAACUUUUCGAGCCUCCACAAUUGCAAGACUCGAAGAGCAAAGCUGGAUGAGAUGGGCAUAGAGAGAAUAAUCGACAGGGAAAGGAGAUGAAAACAGAAUUGAAACGGCUUUUUGGAGACGAUUGGCUUUGAGAUGGUUGAGGAUGACGGUUGUUAAGACUCUGGCGUUUUUGGGUUCGGUUUUGGACUUGACAGUUUUGUCAGAGAGAAGCCGAUUCAGUUCAGAAGAAGCAGCGCUCAUAGCUUAUACCGCAGCGCCAAUAUGCAUUAAUCCCAAAAUCGAAGUUUAUAAAUCAAGUCAAAGUUUGAACACGUGAAUAUGAAUAAAAUAAAAUAUUUAUUUACUCCAAAAAAAUACUACUUAUAGAAAAUGAUAAAAUUUUUUUUUGAAAAAAAAAUAGGAAAUUUAGAUAUUACUAGUUUAAACUUGCAGCAUUUGUUUUUUUUUUUCUUUCUUUAAGCAUUUUAGAAAAAUUCUAUGGUUACAUAUAUUUGUUAUAUUCCAGUGUUUGUUUGGCUAAAGGGAUUUUUUAAAUUUCCUCCAUAUUUAUAUUAUGGAUAAAACUGAUAUUUCAUUGUGAUUUAAUGAAAAAAUAUCUAUCUAUACUAUAUAUAGAUGUGAGAAUAGGGAAGAAAUAAUGAAAUUUUCAAUAUAGCUCUCAAUGAAAUUUAGAAUAUCCUAAAAUAUCCUUAGUCGUAGCUAAUUCGAAAAUUACAUUUUAUAUCAACCGAGUGUUUGGAUGAGUAGUUCGAUACUCUUAUCCCUUAGGUGAGGUCAAGGGUUCGAACCUUAUGGAUAGAGUAAAUACUCGGUACGAGUACUUUAUCCCUCCUUGGGCCGACCCGAUGCCCCGAUGCGAGUAGGAUUUAAUUCUAGCAUAGUAGACUCGGAAUACCUGUGGUUAAGACAAAAAAAAAAUUACAUUUAAUUAUUUGAUUGGAUAUAAUUUUUAAAAAAUUUUUUAAAAUAAAUAAAUAUAUAAAUAAAUAUAUAUAUAUAUAUAUAUAUAUAUAACAAAAUAGAAAAAAGUAUAUUAUUCUUUUUUUUUAUGGUUGUAUGAAAAAUUGUAGGUUUAUUUGGAGAGGAUAUAUCGUUUCUUUUAUGUAAUUUUUUUUAUUACUUAAUUAACUUAUUUAUUGAUUUUAAAUUUGCAACUUAAAAUGAUAAAAAAAAAUAAAAUACUUGAAUAAGCUCAUUAACUAACUAAUAUUGGAUCUUAAAAUAAUUUGCUUUGUAAUUUUUAUUUAUUGACUUGGCUUUAUUUUUUUCCAUCAAAAUCAAAUUUUUAUUAAAUUAUAGCUUUUUCAGGAUUAUUUUUAAAAUUCAAAUGGGUAAUUUUUUUAAUAUAAUUUAUUUCUUACUAUAUGUUGAGUUCUUAAAAGAGUUUUAUUCUUAAUAAGAAUUUGUUAUUUUUAUUUUCUUUUUCGGUAUUGAAUUAAUUUGUAACCAGUGUCACUUUAAUUUAGUAAAAGAUUUAUAUCUCCCUUGCAAUAAAUAGAUGACUUCCUGAUAAAAGAUGUUUAAUUUUCUUGCUAUUUUUUUUAUAUCCUAAAUAUAUUUAACUUGAAAGAAAAUAGUGUUUAUGAAAUUGAAAAAAAUUAAAACUAUAUAUUUCAAGAGGUUGUAUGUAUGUUCAUAUAUUUCUUUCCGUAAUGCACUAGGUAAGUAUAUCACUAUAGCCAAAAUGAUUACCAUUAUUAAUUCAGAUCAUCUUAUCAUUUCUUUUCUUUUAUCUACCAAUAAAAAAUAAGUUAUUAUUAUUUUUCAUUAUAGUUGUAUAUAGAUAUUGAUUUAGGAUUGAGGGCAAAAACUAUGAAUUGAGUGAUAACUUGAUUUUUUUUUUUUUUUUUUUUUUGAGCACCUUUCAGGAUUUUAAAAAUUUGCAUUUAUAAAUUAAGGACUGAAUGAUUAGGUAUAGGGAUUAAAUUGAACUUUAUUUUGAGAUCACUUUAUUAUAUAAAAAUCAAAUCAGGUACAUAAAGAAAUAGCAUUGCAAGUAGCUUAUACGACAAGUCUAAUACAAAGUAAUCAAUUGUAUUUAUUUUAAUCUAAACAAAAACUGAUGCUUUAAUAUUAUAUAGAUAAAAAAUUAAAAGAGUAUAAAAAAUGAAAAUAUAACAACAUUGUCAACGUGCAACACACGUCAUAAAAAAGACUCGUACUAUAUAUAAAUGUAGGAAUAAGGAAAAAUUAAUGGGAUUUUCUAUUUUGACCUUACUACAAUUUAAAAUAUACUAAAAUAGCCUUCGUGAUAGCCAAUUAAAAAAAUUAUAUUUUAUUAUAUGAUAUAUUUAUAAAAAUUAUUUUUUAAGCCAAUCAUAUGUGGUCUGAUUGUCUUCUCACUUAUGUGAGGAGUAAGAGGUCUCGAGUUCGAAUCCUCUCGACCAUAAGUGUUUUCACCAAUUUAGUGAGUGGAGGGUUGUUCUUUGUUGUGUAGCUAUAAUGUUAUUUCGGCCCAUUAGGCCCUCUUAAUGAAUUAAAAAAUAUAUUUAUAAAUGAAUACAUAUAUAUAAUUAAACAUUUAAAAAUUAAGUUUUAUUUUUGCUAAAUUUAUUUUUUAAUAAAUAUAUAAUAAUAAUGAGACAUUUGAAAAUAUUGUUUUAUUUUAUUUAUUAAAUAUUUAAUUCUUGUAGGAUAUAGACAAAAAAAAAAAAGAAAAUAUGUUCUUUUUAUUAAUAUUUUUUUCUUGAUGUUUGUAUGAUUUGAUUGGAUGUAUUUUUUAAAAAUAAAUUUUCAAAUAAAAUAUAUAUAAUAUUUUAUUUAGAAGAGAUAUAAAAAAAAGAAGAAAAAAAUAUAUUACUUUUAUUAAUAUUUUUUCUUUAUUUUAAGAUUUGAUUGGAUAUAUUUUUUAAAAAGUAAAUUUUAAAAUAGAAUUUAUAUAAUUAAACUUGAGAUGAUAGACAGUUGAAAAUUUUAAUUUAAAAAAUAUAUAUAAUUUUUUAUUAAUAUAUAUAUAUAUAUAUAUGCAUCGAAACAUUUUUUAUUAGGUGAAAUUUGAAAGAGUUUUAUUCUUAAUAAUGAUUUUUUAUUUCCUUUUUUGUUAUAACAUUUUUUUUGUUAGGUGAGUUUUGAAAGAGUUUUAUUCUUAAUAAUGAUUUUUUAUUUUCCUUUUCAUUACUGAAUAAUUUAUAACUACUAUCAUUUUAAUUUAGUAAGAAAUAUAUAUCUCUUUACAAUAAAUAGAUGGUCUAUUGAUGAUUAAGCAUUUUUUAUUUUCUUAAUAUUUUUUUCUUUUAUAUUAUAAAUCUAUUUGAUUUAAAAGAAAAUAGCAUUUAGGAAAGAAGAAAAAAAAAAUUAGAACUAUAUAGUUUUGUUUGAAUCACUUUUUAGGAUUUCAAGGAUUUGUGUGUCUGUACAUAUAUCUCAUUUAUUUUCUUUUACAUAGGAGUAAAAAAAAUUUAUUAUUAUUUUUCGUUAUAGUUGUAUAUAGAUAUUAAUUUGGAGUUAAGGAUACGAAUUGAAGAUUGAGUGAUGGCUUGAUUUUCUUUUUGGGCACCUAUUAAAAUUUUAAAAAUCUGCAUUUAUAAAUUAGGGACUAAAUGAUUAGCUCUAGGGAUUGGAUUAAAUUUUAUUCUGAGAUCACUUGUUUAUAUAAAAAUAGAAUUAAGUAUAUAAGAAGUAGCAUUUCAAGUAGUUUGUGCAGCAAAAUAUAAUAUAAAUUAACCACUUAUAUUUAUUUUAUUUUAAUAUAAACAAAAAUUAUACUUUAAUAUUAUAUGGAUAAAAAAAUGAAUAUAUAACUCUAAAUGUUUGUUUGCUAAAGUUAAUUUUUUAAAUUUCCUUAACAAUAUAAAAUUAAUACUUCAUUGUGAUUUAACAAAAAAAAAAUAAAAAAGAAAGACUAAUAAUUUCAUGAAACUAUAUUAAUAUAUUAAUAUAUUUACCAAAUUUUAUAGUUUGGUUGAGAAACUAUAGAUAAAGAUCCAUGAAACUAAUAAUUUCAUCAUAAUUUCAAUUCACCAUUUUAGGAGAGGCAGAAUUUUUCAAUUUCAUCAUUUGUAUUGAUAAUGAAAUUUGAACCUCUUAAUUUUAUUUCAAAUAUACUCUUCAAUUUCAGGGAUUUGGUUUUUCAACCAAACAAUAAAAUGUGAAAUUCUCUCUAACUUCUUUGAAUUUCACAUUCUAUCAAUCUAGAUGAGAACUAUAUAAUUGGAGGAUCACAAAAAUGUAAAGACUAUUUUAAUAAAUUAUUGAAAAUAAAGGUCCUGACUAAUGUAAUACGCUAUAACACAAGGACUAAAGAGUAAAUAAAUUUCAUAAAUAUGCAAUGCCACCCAAUUCUUAUUUCUGCAAAUUGUGAACUUGGCCUUUGUUUAUUAGUUUCCAUAGAGCAGCCUUGGCUUCUUCUAAUGUUUCAACCGCAUGCCCUUCUUCAAAUGAUAGCCUCUGUAUGUUGAACUAAAAACGGUGGAAGAAACCAUAUAAUCACCAGCAAGCUCCACACCAUUCAAUGACGAACAUGGAAAAGAAAAGUUCAAUGAUGGUAUUACCUGUGCACCUUGACGGACCCGGAUAUCGAUUCCUUUGCUGUCUAUUGAUAUAAGAGCAGCAUCGUCUAUUUCUGCUUCGGUGGACAAGAGCUCUUUAAGGGGCUUUGAGAAGAUUGCAUUAAGUUCCUGUAACAAAUCCAGAUUACCUAAUAUCAGAAGAGUUAUCAUAUUCAUAAGGAACUAAGAUGAAAACUGAAUUAUUCUAUCAAUUCACCUCUCCUGAACAAGCUUAUAAACAAAACUGAAAAAGAAAAUACUAGUAAAUCUUUUCCAUCAUCUGAUCAUUCAUAACAGAAGACAGUCUAAAUGAAUUCAUUCACCCAAAGGAGCGAAGAAUACCAUAAUUUCCAUUAAAUAUUGUUUCUAUUAAAACGACCAACAAUUUCCAAGCUCACCUUGAGAUUUUGCUCGCCUCCAUCAACUGCAAUUUUAUCAGGCUUAAGGGCCUCAUACUCCUUAACAUCAACCCAAGCAACAGUGCCAAAGCCUCCGAUAAAAUAUAUGUCACUGGAAAAAUAAGAGCAUGUAAUAUGAGACUUAAAAGUUUAGUGUGGUUUAAUAACAGAUUGAAGUAAAACGAAAAAAUGUGGGUGCAACCAGCCCACUGUGGACAAGGCAUGUUGGUUAGUGCUCAAUUCACCAAAGUCAACAAAUAGAAAAAAAGUUUAACACUGUUUUCUCCAUCUCAAGAAUAUCUUCCAUCUUAUAGAUUUACAAAUUUAUAGUUGCACAAGAAAUUCACACUCAACUAAAAAUACACAAGAUAAAACAGAAUAAAGUUUAAGGUACUGCUACUUCCAAGUCUGUAUCUGUCUGUGUUUGUGUGUAUAUAAAGUAAUGUUAUUUGGUUGUUUACGUGUAGAAUUAACUUCAUUGUGACACAUAUCAACUUCUUGUGAUACAUAUCAACUUCAUUAGAAAAAUGAUAUGUACAAAUAAAAAUGCCUUUAACUCGUUAGAAUUAAAUUCAUCAGAAAAAUGCCUGUCACUCGUGACACAUAUCAACCUCUUUCUAGGCUUUCCUCAACCAACCACAAAACGAUUUGAAUAUUUGUCAGCAGUCCAUGCUUUAUCGUAGAAGGAGACCAAAGUCAUCCUCUAAGCAUGCCAACAAAAUAAGAGUUCACGAAAGCUCUUACACGCAAAAGCGAAAAUAUUAAAAAGUAAUACACUGGUUAUAUUUUCAUGUAAUUUUUCCCUUUCGCUCAUAGUGCUUCCACCAUUGAUGAACAUGUCGCAUAUAGUAAAAUAACCAAAAUAUGUGAGGUGAGAAGAAAUUUGUCAUCCCUCAAAUCAAAGGAAGAAAUGGAAAUGGCACCCAAUCAAGCAAACGUGCACCAGAAACAAACCUUAUGUUCUUCAUCCUAAAGUAAUAGAAAUUCCCCCACUGUUGCGAAGGCCCUUGUUGAUGUUUUGCAAUGUACUGCUUAUGAGCCCACUCCUAAUAGCAACACAACAAGAUAUUUUAUUUUAAUGUACCAAUAACCAAAACAUCCUUUAAACAAGACAAUAAUAAUAAAAGCAUUACGAAAAUUCAUAUUUCAGCAUAACUUGGUGUAAACAUGUAGAUAUACAGGUGUGGAACAGCCACAGAACCCAUAAUUUAGUAGAAGAGAAGAAGAAGGGUAAGAAGAAGUGAUAGAUGGAAAAGAGGGAAAAAAAGAAAAGGCAUCUCAUUUUUCAAAAUGAAGGGAAAUUAAUUUCUAACCGUUUCAUAAUCUUGCAAGGAAAACAUAUAACCAUAUUUAUAUAUUCCAAAUGUUCAACUGCAUUCAAAAUGAAGAAAAACAGUUCAAAAUUGAAAUCUUAACUUUGCAGGGAAUAAAGCAGACCUAUAUUAUGAGGAUACAAGUACAUAAACAUAAGUAUGUGAAAUGAAGACAGAUAGAUAACCACCUGUUGAUUUUCUGGAAGUGGAAAGACAUCACCAAAGAUUGUUACCCUAGCAUUUGACAAGCCACUCCAUCCAGGUAUCUACAAAAUCCAACUGUCAAUACAGUUUAAAAGGACAAGGACAACCUCUAAGAGUUAAAUGAUCAUGUAGUUAACCUGCACAACGAGCGUGCAUCUAGGGUCUGCUAAUAAAUUUCGUGUGUGGAUAGCCAAUGGAGAAAAUGAAAAUAUUGGAUCUGCACGACAAGCAAAAGCCAUCAAUGUCAUACUAUCCAAUGCAUUAUUAAUGUCUAAUAUGAAAAGUAUGAGCUAAAUACCACCCUAAUACAACAAAAGCCAUAUUAAUAAGGUUCUUAUACAUAUAUCAAAUGUUUUAGCCAAACAAGAUAAAUGAUUUGAAAUUUAUAAAUAAUAAAGACCUAGAUGGGAAAGUUCUUAUAAUCAAUAGAAUUCACAAGCAUAAGAAAUUAGAAAACCCGCUAUAUCGCAUAAUCACACGUCACAUUUUCUCAGGAAGCGGAGAAAAAUUAAAUUGAUCAAAAGAGUAAUUAAAAGUUUGAAAACUUACGGCCCAUUGGAUCUGGUGCAAAGUCAACCAAGGAACCAAAUGGAUAUCCUUCUCUUCUAUGAUGCAUUCGAGACAUGACAGUACAUAGAUGAGCAAAUCUGGCCUUAAUUACAAAGCAAGAUAGAUUUAGGACUAUUAUAUCAAGCUGAACUAUACCAGUUAAACAUAUUGUAGGAGAUGAUUAAACAUGAGAUCAAAGAAUAGCCUUCACCUGCUCCAUCAAAUUGCGGACUGCUAAGGCUGGUCGAGGUAAUCCAUGAGCUGAGGUUGCACUUUGCACUCCACCUGAAAUUGGAGUUCUAAAAAGCCCAGCCCUGGUUCCCCCGACCGCCAAAGGUGUCUCAAACUUCACUAUUUUCUCUGCAUCCUUUUCAUUAUUAUCCUUCAUAGAUUGAAAAAUGCAAUUAAUACCAACCAGAGGAGCCAUUUGACGUGUCAAUUAAUUGUCACCAUCAUAGAAAGAAAAUGCUCCGAAUAUCAUAAAAGCAAGUAUUACAAUUAUCAUAGGACAUAGCAAAACUACAACCUAUUUUUACUUUUUAGUAUCUAACUCUUAGGGGGGCAUGAGAACAAUUCGGCAUUCCACAUGUUGCCACUGCCUCCUAUUUUACUUAUACAGAUCAUAAUCCUUCGAGGAGAUAAUAAUUGUUUAACAUCAGGAACUUCAAAUUGUUAUAUGAUGUGCUAACAACAUUAAGAGCUUGUUUGGAACAAAUGGCAUUAAAAUUUCAUGGAACUCAUUAAGAAAAUCCACACUUUCACAUUUGAUAUAAAUGAAAUUUUGAAUUCUAAAAUUUUUAAUUCUAUGAUAUAGUUGUGCUUGAACCAAAUCAUGUCAAAAUUGAUAGAAUUUGCAUAGGAAAUCCAAAUCGAACAUGGUUACAAGCAACUAAAGCUAAUCAGUUCAAAGUAAAAGUUGGUAAAGCAAAAUAUUUCAAAUAAAUUCUAUAAUUAAUCCAAACCUGAAAAAGAAAAAUAUGGAUAAAACAAAAAUAAUAAUAAUAAUAACCUGAGAGAAAAAAAGAGACUCAUCAUCAGAAAGAAAGCUGAACCCAUUAUCCAAAGGCCUGUGAUCUUCUCCUUCCCCACCUGAUAGCUCACGUGCAAGAGCCCGAGUCCGAAGGCCUGGAAAACGAGCAGUUUCAGGAAAUUUGAGAGACCCAAUUCGCUUAUCUGAUAGGUAGAUUAUGUCAGAAGAAGAAGAAGAAGAAGAAGAAGAAGAUGAAGAAGGAGAAGAAGCAUAUGAAGAAGAUGAGGUGUUGAUAAUUGGGACUGUUUCAGGGAAUCUAGAGACGAACAUUGAACUCGAAAUAGAUUCCAUUAUUAUUCAGCAGAUAGACAGAGAUACGAGAAGAGAAGGGUUUUGAAGAGGGUUUGAUGCCAGAGACAGGAGUGAGGUUCUGUAAGAAACACACGAAUAUAUUUAUAUUUUCAUAUUAUUUGAAAUUCAGUCGCUUGCAUCUUCUCUUUCCGGUUCAGCCCUAAUAACUAUUUCGUAUUGAAGCUUUGCUAGAAAUUAAUAAUCACAUUCCUACUUAAUCACUUAUUCCGUCCUUGAUAUUUACCGCUAUUUAUCUAUUUAAUCUUUUCAUCAAAAACUAUUAUUAUCUCUGUUUCAUAAUAUUUAUCACAUUUUUUAUUUCACAUUUUUUAAAAAUUCAUUAAAUUUAUCUAAAUUGCGAUAAACUAUUGAAUAAAUUUACUAUAUUACUUUUAAUUUAAUAUUAAUUCUCUAAGAAAAUUAUUAAAUUAAAGUAAUAAUUAUUCGUUAUAUACAAAGGGUAAAUAUGAAAAAAAAAUAUUUAUUACUACUUAAAACUACAAAUGUGACAAGUAUUAUAGAAUAAAGAUAGUUUAUUUAGAGUUUAAUAUCCUAUAUAAUAUUAACUAUUCAAUUAUUCAUAUUUAAUCUAUUUGGAAAGUAUUUUAAUAUUUGUGCAUAUAUAAAAUGAGUCCGAAACACUGUUGACAAUAAAUAUAUUUAAAAAAAUUGAAAUAUUGGAUAGAUUAUAUUUAAAUAUGUUGUUAUAAUUUACACAGAUUCCUUUCCUAAUUUAUUUUAAUAUCUCCAUGUCUAAUAUUAUAUUAUAUAUUGUACGGCCGCUAAUUACAAUAUUCUCGUUUUAUUUAAUUUAUGGAAAAAAAAAAGUCUUGAGUUAUAGUUAAAUUAAUAAAUGAGAAUAUCUAUUUAAAAAUUAAAAAAAAAAGGAAAAUUUUAAGUAUUACGGAAACAAGUCGAACAUAUAUACUACGACAUUUUGUUUUUUGUAUUCCACUCUUAACACUGCAUUAAUGAAACACUUGCUGAACAACAAAGAAAAAACCAGAAACAGAGAACCCCUUCAUAAGUUCUGCAACAGCAAAAAUUAAGUACAGGAAUAAAUACAGAAAUACGACGACGAUUUUUAUGCUCUGGUGUUAAUCUGAAGUGGCAAGGGCCGACUGCAAUACAUCUUCAAGAUACUUUUCAGCAGCAGCAUACUGUCGUUUCUUAUCCUCUAUUGCUAAAGCAGCUAAAGUUUUAUCCUGAAGUAAUAUACAGUUAAUUAAUAAAAUAAUUUAAAAAUCUUCUAUCUUGACAUUAUAAAAGAAGGAUGCAUGAUAACAAUUUUUAUAUUGUAAAUUGCCAAUUUACCGGUGGCAAGUCUUUGUAACUCCUUAAAGCAUCCAUGAUGGGCUUGGUUUUCUUCUCCAACUCUUUUCUGUGUUCAGCCAUUUCAACAAGCACUCCAUGGCUGAUCUCUGGUGUGUAGCCCACACGAUUAAGAACUGCCUGUUCAGAGAACAAUUCAUGGCAGACCAUGAUAAGAAAACAUCCACAGAGAAAAGCAAGGAAGUAAUGCAUUUAAAUUAUCACCAUGUAGAUGGCCUUAAUAAGAAAAUCAAAGUACAACAUUGAAACUUCAUCUGAAUUCUUAUAAUCAUUUACUGAUUAUCAAAAAUACAGAAUCUCACUCAACGAGGAUUCAGAUAGAUUUCUUUUCAUUGAAUUCUGUCUCAGGUGUAAGACAUACCAGUAUACCAUAUUUUUUAAUUGACUAGUAUUGAUGUUUUUGCUGCUUGUAAUUGUCAUAAUAUAUAUAUAUUCCAUUGUACCCAUUAUUUCAAUUCGAACUCAUGAUUUUAUAGAAUUUAGCCUUGUCCAUUAAAUGCUAUUCAACCAAGAGUGUUCACAAUAUGUUAACGUACCUAUAAAUGCUCCUAGCUUGACUUCAACUCAUUCUAACAAAACACUGAUUGUCCACUAUAUAAAAAUCAAUACCAAAUAUUGAAGUACAGUUAUAAAAAGGCAAUUGUAGGAAAUCUCUCCUUUAACGAUGAUGACAACUGUUCAUUUUUUAUACAACAACACAUAUGUCCUCUAAAUAUUCAUAGGAGCGCAAACUCUCUUUCUUUUUUCCUUUUUUUUCCUUUUCAAACAAAUGUACAGUUUGAGUUCUUUCAAAACCGUCAGUCCUUUCUUGAUUUCCUGAUAACAGCUAUUAGAAAAUGCAUUCUCUUUCAAAUUUCUAGUUCAAUGAGCUCAAUCGUUCCUUAUGAACAAACCUAACCCUGCUCAUGGGCAAACAUUCUUCAAUAGACAAAAUAGGAAUUUGACUAAGAAAUGCAGACUUUCCCAGAAAGAAAAAAAUAAAAAAAGGAAAAUGAGAAAACAUAACAACACAGAACUGUAUAGCUUUGAAACCUUCAAACUAGCCAAGCAAGAAAGAGGAAUUCAAUCUCCAAAAAUAUAAUAUAAUCUCAUACUCCCUUUGCUUUUCAACAAUUAAAUCAUUUAAUACAAACAUGUCACAGUGUCAGAAUAGCUAACAUUUAAGAGCAGUUGUGGUAAACAGAAAGGGACCAACGAAACCAUUUAAUGGUAGUGCAAAUCUUUUACUUAAUACUCCUUCCACCAACAACGAGUGUCCACUUAGCUAUUUUGGGAUGUCGCAAAAUGAAUGUCCACUUUCCCUUUUAAGAUAAAAGUCAACAAGUUUAAAGAUUGUUUUCUCAAUAAUACUCUUCAAAAGAUUCACUAAACUCUUUGUCAUUUUUCCCACUAAAACAAUUAUUGAGAGUAAAUUUGGGAAAAUAAUGAAAAUAACCCUUUCAAAUGACUUCUUUUAAUCUCCAUGCCGAGACAGUAAGUAUUGGACAAAAGGAGCAUAUAGAUACUCAAAGAACCUGACCAAGGACAUGGUAGCUGACCUUUAAAUAUUAGCACUAUAACUUAAUUUUCUAUCCGGGCAAUGAUGACAAUUAACAAAUGAUAGAUACCUUGUAGUUGGAAUACUGCUGCAGAUAUUGACGCUCCUUUGAUGCCAUAAUUGCCAAAUUUGUCUUCCAGUUUUCCAUUUGAGCUUCACUGGGAGCUACAUCAUCCUCAAGUUGUGCAAGUGUUCUAACAAAGCAUAUUCAGAAAAUAUGAGAAAUAGAGAAGGAGAGAGAAAGAGCAUCCUUUCAUGAAAUUGAAACACCAGUUUUCUUAAAAUAGAAAGAUAGGUUUAAAGACAGAUUAGCAGAUAUAGUAGAGCAGAACUUGAAAUAUGCUUGAAAGAGAACCUAAAGUUACAUGUAAUAAUUUACCUUUUUAGAUAGGUAAGCCUUGCUAUUGCCUUCCGAGUAUAAUCAAGAAGAAUUUUAGACUCCUUCUGUGCUUUAGCUCUCUUUUCCUCUACUCCAGUCUUCCUUAAGGAAAUAUCCCCCAUUGCUACAAGAAAACUGUACAAAGUAGUCCAGUUAAAACUACAAACACCAAAACAACAAAAUAGAAAAUAGAAUUUAAGAGGCAGAUUAAAGACACACCUACUUAGUUCAGUAUCUCUUAUGUUCAACAAGUUUGCCACAUUUGCAAGAACUUGAGCUGAACCAACUACAUUUGAAGGCAAACCCUCUUGUGCUAAUUCAACACCCUCCAAUAUCUCUCUAAUCCUUGCAGCUAUAGCCAUGAAAUCAACCAAAUAAUUGUUUCACAAAUCUAAAAAGCAUAAAUAGCUAUAUCUUAUAAAAUGUAAAUAGCCACAUAAUUAUAAUGAACAAAAAAAGAAUCAUAAUAGAUCAAACAAAUCCCACAGCAGAUUAAAUGCAAAAGGCAUAAAUUGACGAGGAAAAAAAACGAAGCUUGAACAUUAGAAAUACCCAAAUCAUUACAGUAAACAGCGAAAAAAACAAAAUUAAAUAUUUCAUAACAAAUGAAACGGAAAGCCUAACAGAUCAAUUGUCAAAUACACGAAUCAUAAAACAAAAAUGUAAUCUAACAUAAGAAUAUAUGAUAACCUUAACAAAUCAUUACAAAAACAAUAAAAGACAGACCUUGGGCACGAUACUCAGUGGCCUUCAAGCGGAAAUCGUUAGCGAGAAUAUUAGCAGCCUGCGUCUUAGCUUGAGAAACAGAAGCCAAAUUGUACAAAUGAGCUAUGCUUCGAGAAGUAUAUUCAAAUUCAGGAACCUCUUUUCCAGCGGCAUCAAAUUGAGAGGCGAGCCAAGUUUUCACCUCUGCAACUUUAGCACCAUCGCUGCCGCUUUUCGCUUCAGUUACUGGAGUAUCAACCCCAGAAAUUAUAUCGCUCAUUUGAUUCUUUUCGAAUUUGCCAAUCGGAGUUUCUGUUUCGGAUGGGAAAGAGAAUUAAAGAGUUGCUUUCUCUGCCGUUGGAGCCUUGGACAUGGAAGACGAAUUCUUCCUUUAAGCAAAACGACCGUGUUUCGAUUAUACUACGGUCUACGGAUUAUUAGCAAUUUAGAAAUGGAUUUUUUCAAAUGCAAUUUUAGCGCCUAAACAAUAUAAAAUAUUAAAAAAACAAAUAAAUAAAUAUAUACUUAUUAUGUUUCUUUGACAAAUUCUUUUGCAUAAUAUUUAGUUAAUCUAUAUCUCAUUAAAAAAUAAUUUGUAGGAAACAUGAAAAGGCAGUUAAUUUCAAUAUUUCAUAGGGACAAAAUUAUAAUUUUCUCUUUUUUUAGCUCGACUUGUUUAUAAAACUUGAACUUUAUAGAUUUAAACUCAGAAUUUAAUUCGUUCAAUUGAAUUUCAAAUAAUUCAUAAACCAUUUCAAUCACUUAGACCAUAUUCUACAACAAAUCUUUUUAACAUUUUGAUCAUAAUCAAAAUUUUAUCUCUAUUAAUUGUAGUGUUUGAUUGAGUUUUUUUAUGAGACAUUUCACACAAAUUAAUUAAAUUUUUUUAACAGACCAUACUCAUUAUUUUUUUUUCGAAUUUAACUAAUAAAACAAUUAAAUUAUUUUUAUCAUUUUAAAUUAAUAAAUUAUUUUUAUCAAACAUUUCUCGUUCUAUAAACAGCGACUAUAAGAACUAACAAGCGCUGAAAACAGACCCUUACAACCUUGUUUUUACGCAUUUGAACCAAGCUGGCAAAAACUAGAACCAGAAAGAGUUCACGGGUGUACGAGUACGGAUAUUGUGGUGGAAAAAUUAACAACAAACUGUGGCGUGAAGACGACCUAACAGACACAACCCCACGUGGAUACCAUUCAGUUAUCAUAUGAUCUGGUUGUAUCAUUUGUCUAUUUAAUAUGUUUGUUGGGGGCACAAAAAUACAGAUCAUCGUUCCAUUUCUCAUUGGUACGACGCAGUACUAUUAACUUAUUAAGGUUUAAUUCUAUGAAAAUAAAAAUAAAUAUAAAAAUUUUGAACCUCAAAUUGGAUAAAUAAAAGUUUAUUGAUUAAAUUUUAACUGAAAUAAAGGAAAUCUCAAUCAAAUUCAAUGCGAAAUUAAUGUGUGUGAUCGUCUCUCUCUAAUUUUUUUUUUUUUUAAAGAGAAACAAUGAUAUAUUCAUUGCAAGAAAAAUAAUUCAAUAGAUAAUUCCUAAGAUAAAAACCGAGUAUGACGGUAAAAUACUCUUACAAGAGAGUGAAUACAUGUUAGGAUACCGGUAAUAAAAUUACGAAAAUAAUUAAACAGAGGAAAAAUAGAAAUGAGACACAAAGAAAUUUACGUGGUUCACCCUCAACUGUUUAGGGCUACGUCCACGGGACCAACUCCGAAUAUUUCUUCCACUAUCAAAAAUAGUAGGUACACAGAGAGUAAUACAAAAUAGUAGCACUCACAAGUGUUUCCCAAAACACCCUAAUAAUCUUCACUAUUUGUCUAAACCUUUAGUUUUAAGAACCCUCUUAAAACUAAAACUCUCUAUUGAUCUCUCACUCGUUUUUUUUUGGUGCAUUUAAACUGAGAACCACCCUCUCCUAUAAAUAGGAGAGGGAAUGAGAGAGUCGUGUGUGUGUUACACACGGCUCUCCAUUAAUUUCGUAGUUGGUUGCCGACCUUGGAAGGGUUGGCAACCAACCUUUUGCUUUUUCAAACAGCACGUUUUUUUUUCUCUUUAUUAUUUUUUUUCUCUUUUCAAACUGUGUGGAUCCCAUUUGAGUGGGCACACCACCACCAACAAAUCUCCCCCUGCACGCUCAAGUGGGGACGUCAGCCAAACUUUCCAUCAUCCCUGCAGCUAAUCGGCAAUUUCUAAACUUGGUUGAGCGACAAACGGGCAAGAAGCUGAAGUGCAUCAGAACAGAUAAUGGUGGAGAAUACACUGGGCCAUUUGAUGCUUUCUGCAAAGAGCAUGGUAUUCGACAUCAAACAACACCUCCCAAGACGCCGCAACUGAAUGGUUUGGCUGAGAGGAUGAAUAGAACUUAAAUGGAGAGAGUCAGAUGUUUAUUCUCACAUGUAAAGUUGUCUAAAAGAUUUUGGGGGUGAAGCUCUUCUUACAGCAGUUCAUCUUAUAAAUCGUUCACCUUGUGUUCCUCUUCAGUAUGAUAAUCCACAAAGAGUAUGGUCAGGAAAGAAUGUUUCCUAUGAUUACUUGCAGGUGUUUGGUUGCAAAGCAUUUGUGCAUAUUCCUAAGGAUGAGAGGUCUAAGCAUGAUGUCAAAACUCGACAAUGUGUAUUCAUUGGCUAUGGCCAAGAUCAAUUUGGCUAUAGAUUUUUUGAUCCAAUCCAGAAAAAGAUGAUAAGAAGUAGAGAUGAUGUAUUUGUUAAAAAUCAGACUAUUGAAGAUGUUGAAAAGACUCAGAAGCAAGUUGCCGAUAGAUCUGAAGAUGAUUCAACAAAUGUGCAAAUAGUUCCUCCAGCAACAGAACAAAGACAAGUUGGAGAUGAAGAAAAUGUUCCACAAGAACAAGAGCCAGAGUUAGAAAAUCCANNNNNNNNNNNNNNNNNNNNNNNNNNNNNNNNNNNNNNNNNNNNNNNNNNNNNNNNNNNNNNNNNNNNNNNNNNNNNNNNNNNNNNNNNNNNNNNNNNNNNNNNNNNNNNNNNNNNNNNNNNNNNNNNNNNNNNNNNNNNNNNNNNNNNNNNNNNNNNNNNNNNNNNNNNNNNNNNNNNNNNNNNNNNNNNNNNNNNNNNNNNNNNNNNNNNNNNNNNNNNNNNNNNNNNNNNNNNNNNNNNNNNNNNNNNNNNNNNNNNNNNNNNNNNNNNNNNNNNNNNNNNNNNNNNNNNNNNNNNNNNNNACAAGUGGGUGUUCAGGAUCAAGCAAGAAGAACACAGCUCCCAACCACGAUUCAAAGCUAGACUGAUUGUGAAAGGAUUCAAUCAAAGAAAGGGUAUAGAUUUUGAUGAGAUCUUUUCACCAGUUGUGAAAAUGACAUCCAUUCGGACAGUGCUCGGAAUGGCCGCCAGUUUUGAUCUAGAAAUCGAGCAAAUGGAUGUAAAGACUGCCAUCCUACAUGGAGAUUUGGAAGAAAAAAUAUAUAUGGAGCAGCCAGAGGGUUUCAUAAAAAAAGGGGAAAGAAGUUAUGUUUGUAAACUGAUUUCAUAAAAAAAGGGGAAAGAAGAUUGUGUUUGUAAACUGAAGAAGAGCCUGUACGGCUUGAAGCAGGCACCAAGACAGUGGUACAAGAAAUUUGAGUCUGUUAUGGGGGAGCAAGGUUACAAAAAGACUACUUCAGAUCACUGUGUCUUCGUAAAUCAGCUCUGAUACCACUCGUUAGGCAUCAGCUCUGAUACCACUUGUUAGAAAUCAGCUCUGAUACCACUUGUUAAGAUACCGGCAAUAAAAUUACGAAAACAAUUAAGCAGCGGAAAAAUAGAAAUGGGACACAUAGAAAUUUACGUGGUUCACCCUCAACUGUUUAGGGCUACGUCCACAGGACCAACUCUGAAUAUUUCUUCCACUAUGAAAAAUAGUAGGUACACAAAGAGUAAUACAAAAUAGUGGCACUCACAAGUGUUUCCCAAAACGCCCUAAUAAUCUUCACUAUUUAUCUAAACCCUUAGUUUUAAGAGCCCUCUUAAAACUAAAACUCUCUAUUGAUCUCUCACUUGUUUUUUGUUGGUGCAUUUAAACUGAGAAACAUCCUCUCCAUUAAUUUCGUAGGAGAGGGAAUGAGAGAGUCGUGUGUUUGUUACACACGGCUCUCCAUUAAUUUCGUAGUUGGUUGCCGACCUUUGAAUGGUUGUCAACCAACCUUUUGUUUUUUCAAACAACACGUUUUUUUUUUCUCUUUAUUAUUUUUUUUUUUUUCAAACUGUGUGGAUCCCACUUGAGUGGGCACACCACCACCAACAACACAUACAUUAGUUUGUCUUUCAAUCCACUUGUCAGAAAUAUCAAACCUAGAGACUAACAUUGCUUUAUAGUCAGUAAUCACGACAUUAAACUCAAAAUGACCAGUAACAGUUGAUCGUUAAGCAAAAAAUACAACCUGAGAUUCAAUAUAAAUAAAAUUUUAGUAAAAAUAAAAAUUUAGAGACUCAGUAUCAAUAAAUAAAAUUUUAAUAAUUUAAUGGAUAAAAAAAUUUAAUUAUGUUUUUAUUUUAACUUGAUAACUGUUAUAUUGCAAAGUAAUUUGAAUUCUCAAAAUUUUUCACUCCUCAUACUAUCAAUAAGACUAACUAGACCAUACUCAUUCUUCACAUUGAAGUGAUUCCAACUAUACUUGAUUAACUAAUAAGUGAUUCCAACUAAUUCCAUUUAUACUAAACUAUAAUAAGUACUCAGUUAUAAUAUAAUUGUGCUUGCUUUGCUUCUAAUUUCCAAAUCACAUUAAAAACAAAUCAUAGGAAUUUGGUCAGCACUUUCUAAAAUAAAGAAAAAUAAAGAAGAAGGAAAGUUUGAAUAUAUAUAUAUAGAGAGAGAGAACUUAGAAAUAGAUGAAGAUUGAUCCAACCAACCUCUUAAAGAAUGUGAACUAUUAUUUGUUAGACGACAAAAUGAUUGAAAGAAGCGAAUGAAUUUAAUAAUCUCGAGGGAACAUUGCAAUAUUAAAUAUAUCAUACUUUAAUUAGAAGGUUAUCUUUUAAAUUCAAUCCACAUUUAUGGUAGAAAGUGACAAUAGAUCAAUUUAGUUUAACGAUGGUAUAAUGAUUUUUUUAUUUAUUGAAAGGCUGACCGAUCUAAGAUAACACUAUAUAAUAAAAUAAUUUUUUUUAAAUGUACUAAAUUAGUAAAAAUACUGAUAAAAAAUUGACGACAAUGACAUAAGUAUUAAUAAUUGAGUGAUUUUACUAUUUACUUUUUUUGGUUUCAAAGUAUUAAAUUUUUUUAUUAAUUAUUAAUAAAUUAUUAUUAUUUUUCCUAACGAAUGCAUGAGCUAAUUACGAUAUAUGACAUAUAAAAAUAUAUAAAUGACUGAAUAUUAUUUAAUCUCUAAGUUACUUUAAAUACAAGAGUCAAAACCUCUUGUUUCGUUUCUGUUAUACUAUUUAUUUUUUUAAUUAACAAAUUGACAAAAAUAAUUUACUUAAAUAGUGUAAAAUUGAGGACUAUACAAUUAAAUUCUUAAAAUAUAAAUUUUAAUCAAUGUUUUGAGUAUAAAAGGAUUCAAUUUCAAUAAUUUUUGCUUAUCAAUGAGUACCGUUUAACGAUUUAUUAGAGUUUAGCGUGUAAAAUUACUACUACAUAUAUGAUUUAGAAAAUAGAACGAAUGGUAUCUACACAUUUAUAGUUGUAUUAAAUUUAAUAUUACUAAUAACUAUGACAUUUAUUUACUUUGUUUUUAAUUUAUCGGAUCUUUAUAAUUACAUUUUGGCCAUCAAUUCUAUAAAUAAAAUUUAUUUAACGAUGCAGUUCAUUUUGCUAAUCUAAACCAUUUAUUGGUUAUAUUUAUGUGAAAUAAUAUAUGCUUUUAUUUUAUUAUUAUGCAUGAAUAUCAAUUUUUUUUUUGAUUUUUCACAAAUAUGAGAAAGAAAAAUUAAAAACUUGAAGUAAAAUUACCUAAAAAUUUUGUUGGAUUGCAAGUUUCAAUUCCCAAUUCAAAUCAAUUCACCACAAAAAUAAUCAAUCGGUAGAAAUGAUUGUGAUGUAGAAAAUACAACUAGGCAUGCUUUUCCAAACUGACUUUGAAAGAGACUAUUUUGAAUAAGAUAAAAAUUCUUCUGACCAUUGCCAAAAUUUUUAUUAUUACUUUAAAUUCAUGAUUUUCUGUGCUUAAAAAAACGAGAAAAUAGUUUUAUUUGGCUAAAAUUAAAAUCCAAUAAUAAUAAAUUUGUAGAAAUUGGCAAGUUAUUUCCAACUUAUAUUUUUAAAUAUUUAAAAAAACUCAUAUUAUAAAUAAUGUAAAAGAAAGAUAUUUAUAAAAAAAAUAUACAAUUUCUAAAUUAUUUCCUACCAUAAUAUGAUGGACCGCAACUAUAGAAAGACAAAAAUUGUAUUCCAAACUUGUCCUUUCAAGAAAAUAUUUCAAAAAAAAAAAAAAAAAUAUAUAUAUAUAUAUAUAUAAUAUAAUGGAAAAAUAAAUUCGUUACCCUAAAAUCUUCCUAAGAUAGUAUUUUCAUUGAAUUUUGAAACCAAAAUUUUUUAAAUUGAAAAUUCGGGUAUUACAUACGUUGAAGUUCUUUAACUUCAUAUCUAUUAUUAAUAAUUAUAUAUGUAAUUGGAUUUAAUUUUUUUUAUACAUUAGAGCUCAUCACAUUAUUUUUAAAAAUGUUUAGAAAUUACAUCAUAUUGAUAAUUUUUUUUAAUUAUUCAAAAUAUAAAUCCAAUUAGUUCCAUGAAAAUUAAAAAGCAAAUUUAAAUAUCCAAGCAUUUUCAUUUUCUUUUAUAUUAAUUUUUUUUUACUUUCUAAAUAUCAAAAGAUUUGAGUUGAUUUAAUAUAUUACAAUAAAAAACAUAAGUUGAAGUAUAAAUAAAGGAAAAUUUACCUUAGAAACAUCCAAAUGUGGCAAGGACUGCCAAUAACUAACUAAAAUGUAUUUUGAUUCAAAUUUUGCACUAUUUCUGACAAUUCUACUUCCAUAAUUUUAUCUAUAACAAAUUCUAAAUAAAUAAAUAAAAUAAUUCUCACACAAAAUAAAAUAUCCAUCUUCUUCCCCACCCAACUCCCUUGAAAGGUCUUUCUUGCCAACUAAUACCCUCUCUCUCUAUAGCCUCCAAACUCCAACGUCCUCCAACUUCUGCCUCGUUUUUAUCUUUUUGUCUCUAAAAAGCAACAAAAAAACAAUAUCUUCAAAAGGGUACAUUCAUAAAUCCAAAAAGCACAACACCAAAUCAAAAAGUUAAAAACUUUGAUAAAUUACGAAGUUAAAAGAACCAAAAUCUUCUCAAAAAGCUUCUUCAUCAACAAACCACACAAUCCCCAAAGCAAACCACCAAAGUUAAGGAAAAAGAAGAAGCAGAAGCAAAAGAACAGUCUAGAGACAAAGACCUAUCCAUAUUUUCUUGAUUUCUCUCCAUUCAUGGGCUGUUCUGCUUCAAGACCCAAUACUGUUCUCUCCAAGAACAAAAACAACAAUGACCCUCUUGAAGAAAACCAUUCUUUAGAUUACUCUUUUUUGACUACUUCUUCACAACAUUCCCCGUCUCCGAUGCCUAGAGCUCUUUCUCUUCAAACCCCUCUUGUUCAUCAUCCACCUUCAAGAAAAGGUGAUUCUCAUCAUCUUGUUUCUCUUACUUCUACUACUUAUGGCUCUCUUCUCCUUAUUGAACCCAUAACUCAUCCCAAAUUCCCUGAUCAGACUCAAUCGCCACAAAAAUCCACCAUAAACAGUAAUAAAACCUUGAUUCCAGCUGACCCAGGGGAGUCUCUUUCUCCUGACUCAGUCAUCAACACCUGGGAGCUAAUGGACGGUCUGGAUGAGUUGGAUUUCGAAAUGGGUAAUUCUAAUUCGAACAAAAAAUCAUCAAUUUCUGAUGAUUAUGUUCUAAUAUCCCCCAAAUCCAACUCAUUUCACCAUCUGGGCUUUGAUGAGUCUGUUAAAAAGCUUAAUGAUUCUUUUGAUUUUGUCAAAUCUGAAGAAAUAGAAGUCGAUAAGUCGUUUUCAUUGUCAAAGCCUUUAUGGAAGCAUUUAUCAGAGGAAUCCUUUCUUUCUAAUAUGGAUCCAAAUGUUGUUUCCAGUUACAGGCGUGCAUUAUCAUCAAGGCAAUUAGGCUACACUAAAGAAUCCAAAAGUAUAAAAUCAGUUGGUUCUAGUCCCAUCAAUUCUUCAUUCAAGAAUGGGUUCAUUUUCCAAGAUAACAAAAUUGUUCUAUAUUAUACAAGUUUGAGAGGAAUUAGAAAAACUUAUGAGGAUUGUUGUGCAGUAAGAAUGAUAUUCAGGGGUUUUCGAGUUCCCGUCGAUGAAAGAGACAUUUCAAUGGAUUCUUCAUAUAGAAAAGAGUUGCAGAGUAUGCUUAAAGGGAAAGCAAUGAGCUUGCCACAAGUUUUUAUAAGAGAAAACCAUAUUGGUGGAGUAGAAGAGAUAAAGCAGUUAAAUGAAACAGGUGAAUUAGCUAAACUUUUAGAAGGAUUUCCUGUUAAAGAUCCAAAAUUUGUAUGUGAAAGCUGUGGAGAUGCAAGAUUUCUGCCAUGUCCAAACUGUAACGGAAGUAGAAAGGUUUUUGAUUUGGAGGAGGAUAAGCUGAGAAGAUGUCAAGAUUGUAAUGAAAAUGGAUUGAUUCGUUGCCCUUGUUGCUCAUGACUGAUUGGUGGUGUUUAUAUUGCUUAAUUACUAGUUUUCUGAUUAAUUACUAAUGCUUUUGAGAUAUUGUUUAUUUUGAUUUUGUUGUGUUACAUUUGUUAAACAGUUCAAUAUGCAAGUGUAAUGUUUGUUGUUCAUCGUCUCUUUGAACAGGUUGGAAUAGAAAAAUAAAUGAACAGUUUUCUUUGAUUGUUGUUCAUUAAGCUUGUUUGCAAUUAUUAUUAUCUUUCUCCUCCCAGUUUUGGAAAUUAAAGGUUUGUUCUUCCGUUUUAUGGUGUUUUUUUUUUCUUUCUCAAAUUAGAUUUUAAAUUCAUAGAUUGGAUUUCUUUUCUUACACUCAAAAACGUUCGGAAGAGGCUGGCGUUUAGGUAAAACCAAAUUCCGGAGAAUAUUAAAUUUGUUUAUAUUUAAUUUAUAGCUCAUUUAUAAAUCAAAUCAAUCGUAAUAGAUAAUUUUUAAAAUUAUUUCAUUUUACCUUUUUUUUUUUUUUUCUUUUUUCUUAUAGGAAAUACUUUUAUUUCUAAAACCAAAAUUUAGAGACUAUUUCUAGUACAAAAGUCAAUUGAUUCAAUUUUGCCUUUAUACCCAAAUGAGAUAACACUUUUUCUUUUAAUUAUUAAAAAUGUUUCAUUUAAUUGUUUUUGUAAUUCUAUUACCAAGUUCCAAUUUUAGUAUUUUAUACAAUAUUUUUAUAGUGAUUUUUAUAAUUCUACCAACUAAAAUUUUUAAUAUUUUAGUAUUUUUAAAUCUUUAUAUCAUAAAUGGGGGAGACUGUCGGUAUCUGGCCACCAUAUAUAUUUGCAUUAAUGUUGUUAUAUGGACCAUCAAGUAGCAGACGGGCAUGGAUAUCUAGGCAAACAGAUGAUCGUAAAGCUCCUUUUUUUUUUUUUUUUUUUUUUUAAAUACCAUGUAUAAGAGAUAUAUUAUUGUAUGCUUAUAAUUAUAAUUUUAAAUAAUAAAUUAUAUUAAAAUCCAUUAAGCCCGACUACAAGAGAUUAAAAAUUAUGAAGCUCUUUUAUGAACCAACGUCAAGUUUUAGUAAUUGAAAAUAUUAAGAAUAAUAAAUAUAUUUUAAGGUUUUAACUCAAUUUUAUAUAUGCAAAUAAUAAUCAAAUUUUUGAGAAAGCCAAUGAUAUUUCAAAAAUCUAAUUAAUUGGAAUAUAUCCAUAUUCAAAUUACAUAGAUACACAUAAUUUAUAAACAAGUCAUAUUGAAUCCUAAUAUUGAAUUGAAGUCCUCAUAUUAUUAAUUGUUUAAAGAUAAUUAAAAAAAUGAAUUUAUAAAUUUAUCAAACAAACUUUACGUGAAUAUUGACGUAAUAUAUUAGAAUAUUCUAAAUUUUAGGAGUUUUUGACAUUUCGUCAUAUUUCAGCAUUCUUGUCAAUUUUAUUUCAAUUUCGAGAUUUUACAACAAUAACAUACAAUUGAAAUUAAGGAUAAAAUUGUAAAUAAAAAAUAUUUAUAUCUAUUUUUAGGUCAUUAUGUGAUGCUGAUACAAAUUUGAAAACAAAAAAAUUCUAUUUAAUCUAUCCAAUUAAUGCUGCACAGACUGAAUUUUUAAUUAUUGAAAUAAAUGUGCUAAUUAAUAAUUUAAUAGGUACUUAUUUAAAAAAAAAAUUAAAGCAUGACAUAAAUUAAAUAAAUGAAAUAUAAUUGUUUACACUUACAUACUUUAUUUUUAUAUUAUUUGUAUGUUAAGGAUAGAAAAAUUCAUAAAUUUUAUAAUUUCUUGGAUUGAUAGUAUAGCUAAAUUAUUUUUCUUUAAUAAUAAAUAAAUAAAUUUUAAUUAUUUUAAUUUCAUGUUUCAAAUAUUUAACAUUUGAAAUUUUAUUUUCUGUUGUUAUUUUUAUUUAUUCAAUAAUAAGGUACCAUACUUAAGAAUAUGGAAAUACGUUUUAUUUGCAAUUCUAUCAUUAAUUAAAAGAUGCUAUAAAAACUGAAUAUUAGGGAAUAAUUUUGUAGAAAGAUCAAAAUACGGUGAAAUUGCAACAAUACGGUUCAAGAUAUUCUGUUGUAUUAAACAUUUAAUCUCUAGUAGUAACGAAGAAUAAUCACUCUAAACGGAGAGCAAAUUAUUGUAAAAAGAAAAAAGAAAGGUAAAACAAAGAAUAUGGAAGCAGCUUUUAUUUUUCUUGGAAAAAAAGAAGAAGAACAAACACGCACUCCCCAAGUCCCAACUCCAAGAAGCCAAAACUAACAGAAACCCACAGUUCAACUAAAAGAUUUUGAGAGAGCGAAAUGGAAGAAAAUGGAGUCUCAGUGGAGAAUGGUAAUGGAGGUGCUGAGACAAAUGGAAGCUUCGACAUGGGGGCUUUAGGGAGGUGCUUAAGCAGCUAUGGAGAUGAAGGCAGCGCAGAGAGUUGCAGAUACUAUCUUUCAAGAAGAACUGUUCUUGAAAUGUUGAAAGACAGAGGUUAUGCUAUUCCCAGCGUAGAUAUUAACAUCUCUCUUCAAGAAUUUCGAGCUAUUCAUGGCCAAGACCCAGAUAUCGAUCGCCUCAAAAUUUCUGCUAUUCACAAGUCCAAUCCCAAUAAAAGGGUAUAGCAUUUCUUGAGCUUUCCUUGUCCUUUUGUUUUUUAUUUUUUAUUUUUUAAGUUCUUGUUUGGAUGCUGAGGAUAUCAAAGAAAAUCAAAAGAGUUCUUUUUUUUUGUGUUCUUCCCUCAGAGCUACUGCAUGCGUUUGCUUUCAGUUCCCCUUAAGCUAAUUUAUAAUCGAUAAGCUAAACGUAUUUUCGUGAGUUUUGAUUAAGGCAUUGGCUCUUGGAAUUGGACUUUAUUGCCUUAGUUUUCACUUUUCCAUUAUUGUGAAUAGUUAUUCCGUGUGCUUGUUAUAUAUUGCUAAAAGGCUGAUUUUUGUUUUUUUUUUGGGCAAUCAGAAGGGAAUCAUUCAUAGGAAAUGGAAUCAACAAGAUUUAUAACAUCAAAACUUUCUCAAAAAAUCUCUUUAAAAAAAAUUAUUAAAAAUCUGUCUGCAUACCAAAGCUUAGUGGUUCUAACUCACUAAAAGGAUAUCUUCCCUCCAUAUUAUUUCAAAACAGAUAAUUGCAUUUCCCCUCAAUCAAAAUAGCAAUCUUGGAACGUGUGUUUGUUUUCCUAGUUGCCUUCCAGUAGAAAAUCUUUGGUCCUUUUCCUCUAUUCUUACCCUGAUAUGGCUCUAAAAAAGGAUUUCAAUGUCUAUGAGGGCAUUCCUCAUAAAAGGCACAUGCAAUCUAAACCUAGUAGAAGAAGAUUUCAGGAAAGAAGUCAGUAAAGCAUAUUUUUUACAACCCAAUACAUAAAGUUGAACUAGUGAAUCACUUAGAUAGAAAGUGACACGCUGAAUAUCAUGCCAAAAAAUGGAUGUACUUGCUAUUUCUUAUGCCAAACAUGGUAAGGGAAAGUAGCCAUUCCAUUCUUUCUCUUAAAUUUCCACACCCAGAAUACUCUCACUACCUCACUAGCUCAAUCACUAUGCCUCCGACCCAUAUUAAGCAAUAAUAGUAUAUUCUUUAAAGAUAAGUCUUUUCCUUUCAUAGACCUCAACAACCAUUUCCUUGGCAGAGCUUUGGUAAAUUCACCAGAGAGAUAAUAGUCAACCCUCCCCUGUUGAUAAUAUUAUACAGAUUUUUUUUUUUUUUUUCCUUUCCUCUUAUAUAUUUAUCUUUAGUAUUUGUAUUUUUUUAACAAAAAAUUUGCCUCUUGCUGUCAAAUGGUUUUCUUGAACAUGUCUCUUUUUUGUUUCUUAAACUUCUAAUACUGACUUGGGUAAAUUUGAGUGGGACUUCUUCAGCAAUCGCUUAUUAUGUGCUAGCAAUGCGAUUAUCAUUGAUUAACUAUUGCUUUUGGGUAGCUUGCUUUUUUAUUAGCUUCAUAUAAACUUACAAGUUGUGUAUUGGUACACAUUUAGGAUUGAUACUGUCCAACUAAGUAAAUACUUAUGCUGUGCUGAUCUAAAUAGAAUUUAAUUCAAAUUUUAGACAUCACUACUGAAGCAAUAACAGGUAUCACUGCAACGGAAUUUCUAUGUAGUUCAUCUCCUUUAUGAUUUUGUUAAUAAGUGUGAGCUGAAGUAUCCUUUUGCUUGAUUUUGUACUUUAAGCAUCAUUUUGAUAGAAUUGAAUUAAAUCUGCAGAUGCUGGUCAUUUUCUGUGGACCUGGCGUGGUAAAAGUCAGUUCAGUACGGGUCAUUGCUGCUCAGAUUGUUAACAAAGAUAUUUUAACUGGUCUGAUAUUAAUCUUGCAAAACCAAAUAACAAACCAAGCCCUGAAAGCUAUGGAUCUUUUUAAAUUUAAGGUUGAGAUGUUCCAGGUAUGCUUUCCGAUAAUUACAUUUUGCAUGUUUUCCAUGUCUACGUGUUAUUGUUUAAGGAAAAAAAGAAAAGAAAAGAAAAAGGUUUUUAUCUACUCAUAUCCCUAUGGAAUUCCAAAGAUGUGCUUAUUUCAUUGAAAAUAACUUGCUUGUGGAAAUAUUUCCCUGAAAAAGAUAAAAUAUUAUUUUGCACUGUCUAGUGUCUAGUUGUAACAUUGAAAAUUUACUGGAAAUUGUUUCUUGACAUUUGGAGGAAAUUGGAAGAAAUUCAUUUUCUUUUAAUGGACAAUAGGGUAAGAAUGUUUUGAGUCUAUGAAAUUCAUGUUUCCUAUUUGUAGUUGAAUAUGAGAGAAAAUUGCAUAAAAAGUGAUAAAUUUAGGGUGACUGCUGGUAACUAUUGGCAAGUGGUAACCCAGUAUCAUAUGAACUAUUGGGUAUUGUUAAGGAAAGUUAAUAUAGAGUUAUGUAUAGAGCCAUGAUUCUGAGGAUAACUAUUGGGUUUUUUUCAUUGAUUCAAUAUACUGAAAUAGAGAAUAUCUUCACAAACCUACAGGCGUGUAGCAAUGUGAUUCUCUUACAGAUUUCUUAUACCUUUAUGAGUCUAUGGAAGUCAAAGAAAAAUUAUUUUCCAUUUUGAAAACCAGCUAAUUACUCUCCAUUUUAAAAAUCAAAAGCUGCUUUUUCACCAGAAAUAUUUGUUAACUGAGUUUCCUAUGCACUAUAGAUACAACAACAACAACAACUAAGCCUUAAUCCCAAGCUAGUUGGAAUUGGCUCUAUGAAUCUUCUAUUUCCUACGCGCUAUCUACAUACACUUUAAUUCAGGGAGAAUAUUUGUUUUUGUGAAAUUUUAUCUACUCUUUAACAAUUUUCUAUGAAGGCUACUCUUGGCUAUCUGCAAUGUGUUGGUUGCAAGCCUCAGAUUUUAACUUGAUAUGGCCCUUCUUUUGUAAAGUAAAUAUGCUUGGGAAUUCAAUUUGUCAUUUAUUUCCUUGAUGUUAUACAAAAAUUAUGAAAAUCUAGUUUAACAUGGAUUUGGAUAUUAUUGAAUUGGGAUAUUGCAGAGUUGUAAAUGUUGAGUACCUUCUUGGUUUUCUGCCCUUUAUCGUGUCAUAUGGAUCUCAGGUGCACUACAGUGGUGUUCAGAUAUGUGUUGUAAUCGAAUAUCUCUCAUCGGUUAUAUGGGAAACUUUAUAUGGUAGCUAAGACCUUAAUCCUUCUCCUCCUUGCAGAUAGCUUAUAGGGGCAAGUUAUCGUAAGGUACUUAACAGCAUGAUGUAAUUGAUAAGCAUGCAUGAGUCAUAUUUUCGGAUAGUAGUUUGAUUUAGUGGGUCUAGAAUUGAGUUUUCUCCAAUCCCAUGGCAAAAUAUGUGGCAUUACAGACCUAAGUGCUGACCUCAGAUAUUCUUCAUUUUGUUAACUCCAACUUCAACUUGUUCUUACAACCCUAAUUUUUACAUUAGGGAUAUAGACAUUCUAUACUGCAGCGGUCAUGAACUUGAUUUCAUGUUAUGCAAGUGUUGGCAAUUGGAAAAGCUUGAUUGGGUUUGGACAGGGUCUAUCAAAGUUGAGAAGGGACAUCUGAACAGACUUCAUUGGUGGCAACCUGAGGGAUUUAAAAUAGGCUAGUCAAUGUAAUUGAUGGUCGAUGACCAUUUCUGAUUUAUGUUGGUUGUUUGUUGCUGCCUAGGAUUUUGUUGUUCAGGGUUGAACUUUUUGCUUAUUGAGGUAUUAAACAUAGAAGCUUAAUGAAGGUGUUUGGUUAGUUAGUAAUUGCAGGAAAAUAGUAGAAAAGGGAAGGGGAAGAGAAUUCAGAGAGGAGAGAAGAAAGUGAGAAAGAGAAUCCUGUUAUAUCAUUACAAUUGAGAAUCUCGAUGCAAUUAACAAGCUUUAUGUUCUGGUUUGACAGUUACAAGCUAAUCAACUGACUAAGCCAGCUCAGGAACUAAUUAGCUCAUUCAACUUUUAUGUAUUUGUCCUAUUAUUCCUAACAGGAGUUUGUAACAAUCUGGAAUAUUGAAUGAAAAUAUUGCAUAAGUGUCAAAUAAUAUUUCCAUCAAGGUUGAGAAAGUUUUAAAACCAUGGCGUUGUACCUUGUAUAUUUAGAAGUUAAACAAUUAUUCACUUAUUCUGGUGUUAUUUUCCUGAGCUUUGAGUAGUGAAAAUGAUUAGUCUUGAUCAAUUAUGUAGUUGAAAAUGCAAUUAUGGUGAUAGUUUGACUGUUACAAGCAUAUGCGAGUUGAAAUAUUUUGCUUUUAGAAAUGUGGAGUGAUGGAAUGUCCAGAUUGACUUGGAAGUGCUUAAAUUGCAGAAAGCAUGUUGAACUUCUUAUGCAGCUUUUCGUUUACCUAAUACUUCUGAAAUUUGUAUUUGAAAUAUAGAGUAAGAAAGUGUCAUUUCACGCUCUCAAUAUCUUACCCUGAUUUGGUUUGUUGUCAGAUAACUGACUUGCUUGUUAAUAUCACAAAGCAUGUAUUAAAACCAAAGCAUGAGGUUCUGACUGAACGGGAAAAGCAAAAGCUUCUGAAGAAAUACUCCAUUGAAGAAAAGCAGGUUAGAAAAAAAAAAAAAUUCUUGGGUUCAUAUUUUUUCUGUUGAAAUUAACAUUCUUUCACUACGUUGAACACAUUGAUGGAUAAAAAAUACUGAUGGAUAACAAAUACAUUUUAUCCCUUACCCACCCCUUUUUGCUUCUUCCUUGUUUCCAACAUGCAGCUUUUAUGUGUAGAGGUUAGAAACUAAGGAAAUGGUGAAUGUAGAGGAUAGUCUAGACAUUAUUUCAUUUUAAGUCAUAACCUUAAUUUUCAUGUUAUUCCAUAAUUCUUCUAUCAAAUCUCAAUUAUGUUUUUAUUUCCCUUUUAUUUAUGAAAGCUUCCUCGACUCUUAAAGAAAGAUGCAAUUGCACGAUAUUAUGGACUCGAGAAGGGACAGGUUGUGAAGGUUACGUACUCUGGCGACAUUACCGAGUCACAUGUUACUUACCGCUGUGUCUGGUGAUGACUGGGGAUACCUUUGCAUUUUCUUCAAAUGCUGUAUAAUUUUUGUUGUAUUAUCUUUUCUGUAUGUGAUUUUCAGAUAGUAGUAACAUUUUUAUUUCAUUCUGUGGACUGUUGUACCAGUUUGAGCAUUCCUACUUUCAACCCGUACUUGACAAUGCUCAUAAAUAAGCUUCGAGGCGAUGGGAAGUGUGAAUGCAGUGAGUGUUUGUCAAUGUGUUUUAAUGUAAUGGAAUAAGUUUAUUAUUGAUUGUUCUAUCUUUGUCCCUGCAUUAUAUUGUAUUACAUUACUUAUAAAAUCUACAAGGAAUGAACCUAAGAUAGCUUGGUUUAGUAACUGAAGGGCACUAGAUUUCACUUUGGUGAUUGCACCAUUAAACCGUGGAGUCAGCAUCUUAUACUUCUAACAAUAACGUGUAUGAUUAUCGUACUCUAAUGAUUCUCAAUUCAAUAAAAGUUAACAGGAAAUUUUUGAUAAGUUUAUGAAUUUAGACAAUUAAUUUUUUCCUUGUACCAAAGUUACUCUGAAAGUUAAAAGUAAUUCUAUGAUAGCAGAAAUCAAUGUCGAAGAUAGCAUACUGACAAUAAGCCAAAAUAUUGUAACAAGUUUAACAAUAUUGUUAAUUUUUUUUUAGAAAGAACAUUAAUUGUAUCCAAAAUUCCAAAUGCAUGAAAAAACUACAUGUCGAGUCAAUAGCACAUUAUAUACAUUUAAUGACAGUUAGCUUCCCCAAUUCAAAUUAAUCGUGAGUCUCCAAUAUUUAAUUAACAUAUCCUAUACAAUUUACUCAUAACUCACAUACUUGAAGAACAACAUUUUCUCAUUUUCCUCUGUUUCUGCAAUGGCAAACAAGGUGUCUGUGAAAAUUGAAAACAAGGAUAUGAAACUUGAUCUUUCUUUCUCACCAUCUGAUUCUAUUCUUCAAGUGAAGCAACGUGUAGAAGAUCUUUUGGAAUGGAAAGCUGAAACACUCUCUCUUUUUUAUAACGGUGAAGAGUUGAAAAAUGAUCACUCACUCGAAUCUUACAAUCUCAAAGAAGGAGGACGUGCUCAUUUUGAUCUUGUUAGGCCAAGCGAGCCUCCUGAACCAAAAUUCUAUGUGCGAGUUAAAUCUCAUCACAAGGAAGGUUUUCUGGGAAUGAGACCAAGUUAUCCUGUGUCAUAUUUGAAGAAUAAAAUUGAAAGAAAAUGGGGCUACGACGGUUCUAAUAUAGAUCUAACUCAUGACAACGUAUUAAUGGGAGAUGAUUUUACAGUCUCUUACUAUAAUAUUUCUGAGAGAUCUGUGAUCAAAUUGGAUGUGAAAGAAGAAGAUAUAGCUAUUCCUUAUCCCUCUCAGCAUGGAAGAUAAAACCAAUACCAAGGAGCUACAGCUAUUUCUUUAAAAGAAAUAACAGAAAAAAAAUUAGCUAUAUUACCUGAUAAGUGAAAGUUGAACUUUUUUUUUUUCCUCAGAAUAACGAUCUCUAGUUGCUUAGUUAAUAUUAUGCUGUCCUUAGUUUAUUAUUACUGAUAAUAAAGACAUGUCUGUUACAACAUGAAUCCUUCAAUAGUAUCAGCACAGCAUGCUAUCUAUCAAUUUAGCAUUAAAAAUUUGUAAAACUACAUUAUUGAAAGUUCCCCAUCCACUAUGAAAUCAUUGUUUGACAUACACCGAGACUUCAUUUUUGCAUGAAGAUCAUGAAGUAAAGAAUAAAUAAGAUUAGAUUGACAAUGCGACUCGUCGCGAGCUAAAAACACAUGAGCUCUAUUCCCAACUUCAAUCCAACUGCAGCCAGGCUGCUUCUUCAAUCCUUUAUCCUUCAUUGUAGAUCUCAUUUUUUUAGCUUCUUUCCAUUUCCCACUAGAGGCAUAUAUAUUAGACAACAAUAAAUAAGCGCCUGCAUUUUCUGGUUCUUCCUUUAAGAGCUCUUUUGCAGCCAGUUUUCCUAUUUUCAGAUUUCCAUAGACAUUACAACUGGCAAGAAGAGCUCCCCAGAUGGAUGAUUUUGAUUUUAUCCCUAGCUGCUUGAUCAAAUCGAAAGCCUCCUCGAGUCUCCCUGCUCGACCGCAUAUAUCAACUAAACAAGUGUAGUGAUCUUCUCUUACUUGUAUAAAAUUGUUUUUUGCAAGCUCAUCAAAGUAUGAUAAUCCAUCCUCCACCAAACCGGCAUGACUACAAGCAGAGAGCAAACCCACAUAGCUAACAUCAUUGGGUUUAAACCCUCGCUCCUGCAUUUCGUUGAACAAUUCAAUUGCUUCCCUUCCAUAACCAUGGUGCGCAUAGGCUGCAAUCAUACAAUUCCAAGAAACCAAAUCUCUCUUGCUUGUAACUCCAUCAUCGAACAUCUUCUUUGCUGUACUCAAUUCCCCACAUUUUGAGUACAUAUUAAUAAGUGCAGAUAUAACAAAUGCCAUAUCCUGAUAAACAUUUUUACUUAUCAUUUGAUGAACUUGUUGUCCCUCGCCAAGACCAGCUAAGUCGCUACAAGCACCCAACACAUUCACAAAAGUUCCCUCGUUAGGCUUUACGCCACCAUCCCUUACCAUUUCCAUAAACAUCUCCAGUGCUGCUUCGCUUUCCCCAUUUUGGACAUACCCAGUAAUCAUCGUAGUCCAAGUUACAACAUUCCUUUCAGACAUCUCAUCAAAUAUAACCCUUGCUCUUCUUAUCUCUCCAUUUUGAAUAAACCCUGUGAUCAUUGUAUUCCAUGAAGGCAAAUCCCUCUCAGGCAUGCUCUUAAACAACUCAAAAGCCUCAUCUAACCUCAUAUUCUUCGCAUACGCAGUAAUCAUUGCAUUCCAUGAAACCACAUUCCUCUCUGGCAUUCUCUCAAAAACCUUCCUAGCUUCACCAAUCCUACCAUUCCUUGCCAAUCCCGUAACCAUUGCUGUCCACGAAAUCACGUCCCUUUUAGGCAUUUCAUCAAACAAUCUCCUUGCCUCCUCCACUCUCCCACAUUGUGCCAACACCGUGAUCACAGUGUUCCAAGAAACUAUAUUCCUUUCGGUCAUUUUAUCAAACAUCUCAAGAACCUUAUGUACUUCACCAUUUUUAGCAUACCCAUCUAGCAUUGUAUUCCAAGAAACAACAUUUUUCACUGGCAUUGCCUCAAACAAACUCUCGGCUUCCAAAAUUUGACCCAAUCUCAGAUACCCACUAACCAUAACAGUCCAAGUAACCACAUUUUUCACAGCAUCAGCUCUGUUAAACAAUCUUCUAGCUUCUGCAAUCAAUCCGCAUUUUAUAUAUCCAGUGAUCACAGCCGUCCAUGUAACCACAUCUCUCUCACGCAAUUUAUCAAACAUUUGACGUGCUUCAUUGAGUUUACCUUCUCUACACAGUCUCGUGACAAGCCAAUUGGAACGUGCGAUAUUGGAAUUGGCGCUAAAAUCGCUAUCAGGCAAUGAAAUUUUGGGGGCUACUGUUGAUUGGUUUACUAAGAAAAAAAUAAACUUGAAAUUGCAUACUAUGGAUUGUUUCUUGGUUUUGCUUGAAUUUGAGAAAGCAAUUGGUAGUCUAAACAAUGAUUGCAUCUCAAAAAACGUUCUUUACCAUCGAGGAACGAGUGAGGGAUCCUCUGAAUAGUAUGCAAGUGGCUGUAACAAUGGCGAUGAAUUAGGCCUGGCCAAGGUCGGAAACUAAAAACCGAAAUUCACUAUCUAGAUAUCGGUUUCAGUUCCGUUUUGGUUUGGUUCUAAUUGAUUCCGGCGAGAAUUUGUCUGAUUUUUCGAAAGGUUUUCGAUUGGUUUCAGAAGGUAUCAGGCGGCGGAUGAUUUUUAUUUUUGUAAGUCAAAAACAUUAAAUUUCAAAAAAAUUUUAAAAUUUUUAACGAAUAAAGAAAUAAAUUAAUAAUGUCAAUACAUUAUUAGAAUAAAUAGAAAAUAGACUUCUAAUUAAAAAAAUUAAAAAUUAUUGGAUUAUUUUAAAUUCAUUAAUUUUAAUUGGAUAUCAGAUUCUUAUUUUCAUUGGAGUGAAAAUAAUUAAAUUAAGUAAUUAAAGUUGUGCUAAAAUAAUUAUAUAAUAAAUUAUAAUUAACCAUUUAAAUUUUUAAUUUUAUAUUUAGAAAAUUUUAAAAGAACUGUGUCAAGGUUUUAUAUUAAGCCUUUACAGCUUAAUACCUUGGCAUUCAGCUUUCAAUUUCAACUUUUAUGUUGCUGAAGAUUAAACUCUAAAUUGACUGAGGAAAAACAAAUUAAAAUCAUCAAUGAUAAAAAAUAUAUUCUAACAAUAACGAUUAAACACUGAUGGGAUUAAGGAGUAUAUUAGAUUAUGAUUCUGUUACAUUUUAAAACUUUAAUCGUAUUCAAUUUAGAUUGUUUUAGACUUUAUUCAAAUUUUGUGGUAUUUAAUCCAGACUCUUAAAAUUCUAAAAAUUUAAUAGUAUUCAAUUAUGACUUUUAAAAAUCUAUGCAAAUUGAAUGAUAUUCAAAAAAUUUCUGAUUUUAAAGGAUUUUAUAAAAUUAUUGAUUUUGUUAUUUUAGAGUGUUAGACCUAAAUAAAAUAGUCAUUCACAAAUUCAUCCUCUAGAUUAAAAAUUUUGUUGGGUGCUACGUAUAUAUUUUUUUAAUUUUUGAUUUUAAAUUAAACAAAAUAUAUAUCUAAACUUGUGAUUUUCCGACGAGACGGUUGUAAGAUAUGUGCAAACUUAUUGACCAAACCGAACCGAAAAUCAAAUCGAAUCAUUUUGAUUUGGUUCGAUAAGCUAAAUCAAGAAAGAUUUAAUUGUCGGUUUAUUCGGUUUGAACUGAAUUAAUUAUUUGGUUCGAGUCGAAUUCAUAAAAAUCCAUUGGUUGGGUUUAAAACCAAAUCGAAAUGGUAAAAUCGACCAAAUUGACCAAACCGACUAGUUUGAUUCGAUUCAGAAGACAAAUUCAAUUCGGUUCGAUUUGUUGAUAAAAAUUUUUCAGUUUGUAUUUUUUAACAUCGGUUCGUUUUGAUUUGAACCAAAGUGACCAUUUGCUGACCCCUAUCUGUCGCGGUUUAAUUAAGAGACGAGAAGCCUGUGAUCUACACCGCGGCUGUUAUGAGGCACAGGAUGGCUAGCAGCGACACCGGCCAUUACAAGCUUUUCCCUAUCCAUAGUGAUAAGGGUUUAAUGAAAAAGAAAAUAAGUUUUUGCAAGAUGACGUAUUUUUUGGUCCUUCAUUGUUUUUUAGUUUUUCAGUUAAACUCAAAAACCUUUUAAUUUAUUCAAUUAGGUCCUAAAAUUAUUUUUAAUUUGAUACAUAAAAAUCAUUGUAAUACCAUCAAAGUCAAUAAAAAUUUAUAUAAAAAAGUCUCACAAAUUCCAUAAUACUCUGUGUAGAAUUCUAAUGGAAUAUGACUCAAUAAUUAUUGUAAAAUCUAACACAAUCUUAAUCCAAUACACUCGCUAAGUGUAAAUAGCAAAUCAAAAUCAUUAAUAAUAACAAAUAAAAAUAAUAAUAACGCGGCACAUGAAUAUCUUAGUUAAAAAAUAAGGUUUUAACUUUAACCAAAACAAAAAUUAAGGUGCUCAAUAUCAAUAAAUAAAAAGUUUAAAAACUUAAUUUCAAUAAAAAUAAAUCAAAUUCAACGCACGUUUAAUAUGUGUGAUCAUCAGUCUCUAACUCUCAAUUUAACCAAAAUCAAAUUUAACAUGUGUGAUUGUCGUUUUUUAAUUCUCAGAUACCGUUAGGCCCAAGUUUAACAAUAUUGUUUUUUUUUUUUUUUUUUUAGAAAAAUAUUGUUAAAUGCAAAUCAUAUCCAAAAUUCCAAAUGCAUGAAAAAACUACAUGUCGAGUCAAUAGCACAUAAUAUACAUUUCAUGACAGUUAGAUUUCCAAAUUCCAAUUAACGUGAGUCUCCAAUAUUUAAUUAACAUAUCCUCUUCAAUUUACUCAUAACUCACAUACUUGAAAGAACAACAUUUUCUCAUUUUCCUCCUUUGUUAUUGCAAUGGCAGACAAGUUGACUGUGAACAUUCAAAAUGAGGAUAUGAAACUUGAUUUUUUCUUCUCGCCAUCUGAUUCUAUUCUUCAAGUGAAGAAAAGUGUAGAAGAUCUCGUGGAAUGGGAAGUUGAAACACAAUCUCUUUUUUAUAAUGGCGAAGAAUUGAAAAAUGAUCGUACACUUGAAUCUUAUAAUCUGACAGAAGGAGCAUAUGUUGAGUUUGAUCUUAUUAGGAAAACAGGAGAGUCUUCUCAACCUCAACCAGAACCAAAAUUCAAUGUGCGAGUGAAAUCUAGGUACAACGAAGAAGGUGUUAUAAGAGUAAGACGAGGUUAUCUUGUGUCGCACUUGAAGAAUAAAAUUGGAAGAAAAUGGGGCUUUCUGGGUCCUGACAUAAGUCUAUAUCAUAACGACGUAGAAAUGAGAGAUUUUUAUAAUCUCUCUCAUUAUAAUAUUUCUGAGAGUUCUGUGAUCAAACUGGAGCUGAAAAUGGAUUUGAAAGAAAACGUUAAAGAAGAUGUGAAAAAAGUGAAAGAAGAAGAUAUGGCUAUUCCUUAUCCCUCUCAGCAUGGAAGAUAAACAUAGCAUUAGCUAUUUCUUUUUUUUUUUUUUAAAUAACAGAAAAAUAAGCUUAUUUUUCUUUUUUUAGUCAAUGUUGGUGUUAUUAAUAAGUCUUAUAAUAAGCUUUAUAGCUUAUGAAGACAAACAGUGAGUGUUCUUAAUGCUACUUUUUUUUUAAUCUAUGUAAUGAAUAAAAUUUUAAAUACUUGCCAUUCUUCAUUUUCUUAA
rnacentral:lncRNA from 1 species